UUUUUUUUGAGGUGGACUGGUCGACUUUGUCUUCAACAGGAUUAGUGGGGGCACGCUGAGUGCACCCACUGGGUGUAGUCCCCGAGACUACGGUCGAAUGCUUGUAUUCGGCUGUAGUCUUAGAAACGUGUGUUUUUCCCUUUUUCACUCGGAAGUGAAUUAUAUUUGACGUUUAGUCGAUUGGUUCUUCGCAGAACUCUUGUGAUCUUGUGGCUCGCUACUCUGAGCUGGAAAACAAGCACACUCAACUCGAGCUGAGCCUGAAGCUGGUUCAGGAGAAGCUGACAAAGGCAAAGGAGGAGACCGAAGGUAUGUUUGGUGAGAUCCUGACGACUGCUUUUCCCCUUGCUUGUUUCAAAAUCUGAUCUUGCUGUAACUUGCAGGUAAGGUAAGGGAAGCCCAACAGAAGAAAGAUCUUGAACUAGCUGAGAAGAUCAAGCUUGCUGACGAGAAGUUAGCUUCAGUCACCAAGCUUGAACAAGACAAUACCAAUCUGAAAGCUGCUCUUGGGAUCGCCAACAAGGAGGUCAGUCGACUGAGAACUGAUAAAGCUGCCCUGACCGACCAAGUCAGCAAAUUGACUGGGAAGAAAACUGAUCUGGAGGCCUUCCUGAGUGGUCUUGCCAAGAAGUUGUUUCUUAUGCUUGAAGGUAAACCUCUAUGCUUGGCAAACAUUUCCAAUUGUGGUUUUUCCAUUCGACCAUCUCCUUGACUUAGUGAUCAUCCUUGCAGAAUUUUGUCAAAACUUUGAAGAAGAAACCAGCCGGCUGGAGCCAAACCUCGACCCCGUCAAUUCUCCUGUGAACGACGAAGUUGCCAUGGAUGUUUUCCGAUUGGAGUCUCGUGUUGCAGAUGUCGUGGACUAUCUCGCAAGGCUGAAGGCCGCCACAUCUCGCAUCGACUCGACGCUCUGGCCUGAGGAGACACUUCAGAAUGACCUUGAGUCGCUGAUGACCCGCUUGAACACGAUCCCUGGUCGAGUGCAGGAAUGGAAGAAGUCCUCGGCUCGGUGUGGUGCAGAUGUUGCUCUGUGUCUGGCCCGAGUCCACUGUAAAGAUGCACGAGAAGAGAAGCUGGCGGCUCUUCGGGUGGCCAACACCAAGAAACACGACUUCAGGUCCUUUAUGGAAACUUUCCUUGCAGCUGCCACUCGGAUCGCCGACGGAAUUGACCUUGAUGAAUUCGUUGCACCUUCCAGCCCUCCACAGGAGGGGUAAAAAACUUCUUCUGGCUCGACGCUUUUAAAUUUGCCUCGGUAUGCCGAGUGGAAUUGUAACCGAUAAACCUUAACAGGCUUAACGCCUGAGCACUCUCGGUUCCUUUAGAUAUCGAAUCAAACUUGAAUUUGGUGCUUGAAUAUGAUUGCCUUUGGCUCGAAACGUCUUUUGCAGGUUCAAAGCAAGGCGCCUUUACUGCAAUCGACUUAUUCUUUAGUCCGCUUAGGCGAGCACUGGCUGCGGCUAAGCCUCCGAGUGGAAGCCCGGCUUACCACUCGGUAGGAUUUUUAUAACUUAGGCGAGUGCUUGGACUGCAGCUAAGCCCCCGAGUGAGAGGUUUGCUCUUCACUCGGUAGGAUUUCGAUAACUUAGGCGAGUACUUGGACUGCAGCUAAGCCUCCGAGUGGAAGUCCGGCUUACCGCUCGGUAGGAUUUUUAUAUCUUAGGCGAGCACUGGGCUGCAGCUAAGCCCCCGAGUGAGAGGUUUGCUCUUCACUCGGUAGGAUUUCGAUAACUUACGCGAGUACUUGGACUGCAGCUAAGCCUCCGAGUGGAAGUCCGGCUUACCACUCGGUAGGAUUUUUAUAUCUUAGGCGAGCACAGGGUUGCAGCUAAGCCCCCGAGUGAGAGGUUUACUCUNNNNNNNNNNNNNNNNNNNNNNNNNNNNNNNNNNNNNNNNNNNNNNNNNNNNNNNNNNNNNNNNNNNNNNNNNNNNNNNNNNNNNNNNNNNNNNNNNNNNNNNNNNNNNNNNNNNNNNNNNNNNNNNNNNNNNNNNNNNNNNNNNNNNNNNNNNNNNNNNNNNNNNNNNNNNNNNNNNNNNNNNNNNNNNNNNNNNNNNNNNNNNNNNNNNNNNNNNNNNNNNNNNNNNNNNNNNNNNNNNNNNNNNNNNNNNNNNNNNNNNNNNNNNNNGAGAGGGUUGCUCUUCACUCGGUAGGAUUUUUAUAACUUAGGUGAGUGCUUGGACUGCAGCUAAGCCCCCGAGUGAGAGGGUUGCUCUUCACUCGGUAGGAUUUUUAUAACUUAGGCGAGUGCUUGGACUGCAGCUAAACCUCCGAGUGAGAGGGUUGCUCUUCACUCGGUAGGAUUUUUAUAACUUAGGCGAUUGCUUGGACUGCAGCUAAGCCUCCGAGUGAGAGGGUUGCUCUUCACUCGGUAGGAUUUUUAUAACUUAGGCGAGCACAUGGCUGCAGCUAAGCCCCCGAGUGAGAGGGUUGCUCUUCACUCGGUAGGAUUUUGAUAAACUUAGGCGAGUGCUUGCACUGCAGCUAAGCCUCCGAGUGGAAGGCUGGCUUACCACUCGGUAGGAUUUUGAUAAACUUAGGCGANNNNNNNNNNGCUUGGACUGCAGCUAAGCCCCCGAGUGAGAGGUCUGCUCUUCACUCGGUAGGAUUUUUAUAACUUAGGCGAGCACAGGGCUGCAGCUAAGCCCCCGAGUGAGAGGUUUACUCUUCACUCGGUAGGAUUUUUUACAACUUAGGCGAGCACAGAGCUGCAGCUAAGCCCCCGAGUGAGAGGGUUGCUCCUCACUCGGUAGGAUUUUUUACAACUUAGGCGAGCACAGGGCUGCAGCUAAGCCCCCGAGUGAGAGGUUUACUCUUCACUCGGUAGGAUUUUUAUAACUUAGGCGAAACGGAUUCGCAGCUAAGCCUCUGAGUGAGAGUCUGGCUCACCACUCGGUAGAAUUUUUACAAACUUAGGCGAAACGGAUUCGCGGCUAAGUCACCCACUGAGGGGGAAUUUUAUUGUGGACAAAAAUAAAAAGUGACAGAAAUUAUGGAGGAACUAUGACACUAUUAUUUUGAGGUCCAUGAACUACAGAAGUACUUUAUUGCGACUCAUCCGAGUGAUAAAACUUAAGUGUAAAAUGGGCGGAGUAGCUCUGCGUUCCAAGCUCGGUGCUCGUCGAUAUUAUGCUCGACGUUGUAAAGACGGUACGCCCCGUUGUGGAGAACCUUGGUGACGAUGAAGGGGCCUUCCCAAGAAGGAGCAAGCUUGUGUGGUUUGUGCUGAUCCACUCGGAGAACCAAAUCCCCUUCCUGGAAGGCUCGACCUCUCACAUUUCUGGCGUGGAAACGACGCAAAUCUUGCUGAUAGAUGGUCGACCGGAUCAGAGCCAUCUCCCUUUCUUCCUCUAAAAGGUCGACUGCGUCCUGCCGCGCUUGUUCAGCCUCUGCUUCGUUGUAAAUUUCAACUCGAGGAGCAUUGUGGAGAAGAUCACUCGGGAAGACUGCUUCAGCUCCGUAGACCAAGAAGAAUGGAGUUCUUCCGGUCGACCGAUUAGGUGUGGUCCGCAGCCCCCAAAGCACCGAGGGAAGUUCGUCGACCCAAGCUCCAGCCGCGUGUUUGAGAUCACGCAUCAGUCGAGGCUUCAAUCCCUUAAGAAUCAGUCCAUUAGCUCGCUCUGCUUGUCCAUUCGACUGCGGAUGGGCGACUGAAGCGUAGUCGACCCGUGUGCCUUGGGAGUUGCAGAAAUCUCUGAAUUCUUCUGAGUCAAAGUUCGACCCAUUAUCCGUGAUGAUGCUGUGUGGGACACCAUAUCUGAAUAUUAGUUCCCUGAUGAAGCUAACAGCAGUACCGGUGUCAAGGCUCUUGAUUGGUUUAGCCUCGAUCCACUUGGUGAACUUGUCGACUGCCACCAGUACAUGCGUGAAGCCACUUCGUCCUGUUCUCAAAGGACCGACCAUGUCCAGUCCCCAUACUGCGAAAGGCCAGACGAGUGGGAUGGUCUUCAGGGCCGACGCAGGUUUGUGCGACAUAUUCGAGUAGAACUGACAUCCCUCGCACUUAUCCACUAUAUCUUUUGCCAUCUCAUUCGCCUUUGGCCAGUAAAAUCCGGCUCGGUAUGCUUUGGCCACGAUGGUCCGAGAGGACGCAUGAUGACCACAGGUCCCCGAGUGAAUAUCAUUGAGGAUGAGUCGACCUUCUUCUGGUGUUAUGCACUUCUGACCAACUCCAGUCGCGCUCUCUCUGUAUAACUGUCCUUUGAUUACGGUAAAGGCCUUAGAUCGACGGACGAUCUGUCGAGCCUCUUCCUCAUCCUCCGGAAGCUCUUUUCUCAGGAUAUAUGCGGCAUACGGAACUGUCCAGUCGGGAAUGACCACCAAAACCUCCAUGAUCAAGUCGACCACCGCUGGGACUUCAACUUCAGUCGUAUCUGUGGCACUCUUGGGCUGUGGAGUUCUUCGGUGAAAGGAUCUUCUUUGACUGACGGAGUGUGUAUAUGCUCCAAGAACACACCACUCGGAAUGGCUUCUCUCUUGGAACCCAUCUUUGCUAGAUCAUCAGCUGCUUGAUUUUUCAGUCGGGGUAUAUGAUGGAGCUCCAACCCCUCGAACUUCUUUUCUAGCUUCCUCACUGCACUGCAGUAUCCAGUCAUGGCUGGGCUUCUCACGUCCCACUCUUUCAUCACCUGGUUGACCACUAAAUCCGAGUCGCCAUAGACCAUCAGGCGACGGACGCCGAGUGAAAUGGCCAUGCGCAACCCAUAUAAGAGGGCCUCAUAUUCUGCCUCAUUGUUGGAGGAAUCAAAGUGAAUCUGGAGCACAUAUCUGAGCUUAUCUCCUCUGGGGGAAACCAGGACAACCCCAGCACCGGAACCAUUCAACAUCUUAGAGCCAUCAAAGAACAUGGUCCAAUGCUUCGAGUGAACUUCAGUCGGCUGCUGCUGUUCAAUCCACUCGGCGAGGAAAUCUGCUAUUGCCUGGGACUUAAUGGCUUUCUUUGCCUCAAACUUGAUAUCAAGGGGAAGAAGUUCAAUCGCCCAUUUGGCCACUCGACCAGUUGCAUCUCUGUUGUGCAAAAUCUCUGAUAGUGGAGCGUCGCUGACGACUGUGAUGGAAUGAUCAGAAAAAUAAUGAGCAACCUUCUUUGUGGUCAUGUAUAUUCCAUACACAAGCUUCUGAUAAUGAGGAUAUCUCUGCUUAGAUGGAGUCAAGACUUCAGACAAAUAAUACACUGGGCGCUGAACUUUGAGAGCUUUUCCUUCUUCUUCCCGCUCGACCGUUAGCACAGUACUGACGACUUGUCCUGUGGCUGCGAUAUAGAGCAACAGAGGCUCUUUGCUGAUUGGAGCAGCAAGCACCGGCUGGGUGGAGAGCAGAGCUUUUAGCUCGGCAAACGCUGCAUCAGCUUCUGGAGUCCACUCGAACUUGUAUGUCUUCUUCAUCAGUCGGUAAAGAGGCAAUGCCUUUUCACCGAGUCAUGAGAUGAAUCGACUUAAUGCGGCCAAGCAUCCAGUAAGCUUCUGGACAUCGUGCACUCGCACAGGGCGUUUCAUUCGGAGAAUAGUGCCAAUCUUCUCUGGGUUAGCGUCGAUUCCCCGUUCGGAAACGAGAAAACCGAGUAACUUGCCACCAGGGACUCCAAAUGUGCAUUUUGAUGGAUUGAGCUUGAUAUCAUAUCUUCUGAGAUUGGCAAAUGUUUCGGCGAGAUCAGCGAGUAGGUCGGAACCUUUUCGUGAUUUGACAACAAUAUCAUCCAUAUAUGCUUCCACAUUCCGACUGAUUUGAGUGAGUAGACACUUCUGAAUCAUUCGCAUAAAUGUGGCUCCGGCAUUUUUGAGGCCGAAUGGCAUGGUGAUAUAGCAGAAGCACCCGAAUGGAGUGAUGAAAGCUGUUUUUACCUCGUCGGGUCCGUACAGACGGAUCUGGUGGUACCCAGAGUAGGCAUCUAAAAAAGAUAGCCUCUCGCAUCCCGCGGUCGAGUCAACAAUUUGAUCUAUGCGAGGGAGAGGAAAAUGAUCUUUCGGGAAGGCCCGGUUGAUGUGCUUGAAAUCAAUGCACAUUCGGAGCGACUUGUCCUUCUUAGGAACCAUGACGACAUUAGCGAGCCACUCGGAGUGGUAUAUCUCUCGGAUAAAUCCUGCCGCCAACAGUCGAGCCACUUCUUCACCAAUGGCCUUUCUCUUCUGGACGACGGACCGCCGAAGAUGCUCUUUGACUGGUUUUGCAGAUGAGUCGACUCUUAGGCGAUGCUCAGCCAGUCCCCUGCGAACACCUGGCAUGUCAGCGCGCUUCCAUGCAAAAAUGUCCCAGUUCUCACGGAGGAACUGGAUGAGCGCUUCUUCUUAUUUUGGGUCGAGUGUUGUGGAGAUGCGGGUCGGAGCUGCUUCAGGGUCGGUCGGGUGAAUGUGAACAGGCUUCGUCUCACCGCACGACUGGAAUGCAAACUCUGUGGCGGGCUUCUUUGAUCGCAACAAGUCACUCGGAUCUGCGUUUUGCUUGUAUUCUUCGAACUCGACCGCUGUCACCUGGGAAUCGGCAAUCUUGGAGCCCUUCUGAAAGCACUCUUCUGCCUUUUUCCGAUCACCGGUGACAGUGAUCACUCCUUUGGGGCCGGGCAUCUUCAAUUUGAGGUACACGUAACAUGGUCGAGCCAUGAACUGUGCGUAAGCUGGUCUCCCCAAAAUGGCAUGAUAUGCGCUCUGAAAAUCCACGACCUCAAACGUCAACUUUUCUUUGCGAAAAUGCUUCGAAUCACCAAACACCACGUCCAAAGCUAUUUGGCCGAGUGACUCGGCCUUCUUCCCUGGUAUAACUCCAUGAAAGCUCAUGUUACUAGUGCUUAGUCGGGACAUCGGAAUGCCCAUUCCUUUCAGUGUGUCUGCAUACAACAAAUUCAGCCCGCUUCCACCAUCCAUCAGCACCUUUGUCAGUCGAGUGCCUUCGACAACUGGAUCGACCACCAAAGCUUGCCUCCCAGGGGUGGCAAUAUGAGUCGGGUGAUCAGAUUGGUCGAAUGUGAUGGGUGUUUGGGACCAUUUCAGAUAAUUUGCUUUUGCGGGGGCAACCAUGUUCACCUCUCGGUUAAUGACUUUCAGUCGACUCCUGCUUUCCACAUCUGCAAAGAUCAUCAGAGUGGAGUUGAUAUGCGGAUAUCCUUCCUCACUGUCCUCCUUGUCUUCGGCCUUGUCUGACUCCUUCUCCUUGUCCUUAGACUGUUUUCCCAGAAACUGCUGGAUCAGGAGUCGACACUGGCGAGUGGUGUGCUUCGGGUAGAUGAUAUUCCCCUCUCCGUCUUUCUUCGUAUGGAUGUGACAUGGCAUAUCCAUCACGUCGUUCCCUUCUUUAUCCUUUACCUUCUUGGGGUUCCAGGAUCCUUUUGGUUUCCCCUUAGACUUUCCCUGAGUCACGGCCAGAGCCUCUCCAGGACCUGCUGGUUCAGCCUUCCGCUUCUGUUUCCGACUGGUGUUUCCUUUUUCCGACUGACUCGGCUUGUGCUUGCCGCUUCGGAGUCGGUCUUCUUCUUCGCCGUUGGCGUAUUUGGUAGCAAUCUCCAUCAUCCGACUCAAGGUCAUGUCACCGGUUCGACCAAACUUCAAACUCAGUUCUCUGUUCUUGACGCCAUUUUUGAAGGCGCAGACUGCCUGAUGAUCAGACACAUUCUCCACAGUGUGGUGCAAAGUGAUCCACCUCUGAAUAUACUCUCUGAGAGUCUCAUUAGCCUUCUGCACGCAGACUUGCAACUCUGUCAAUCCAGCUGGUCGCUUGCAAGUUCCUUCAAACGUUCUGAUGAACACUCGGGAUAGAUCUUCCCAAGCGUAAAUGCUGCUAGGAGGUAAUUGAGUCAACCACGCCCUGGCAGAACCUUCCAGCAUGAGGGGCAAAUGCUUCAUGGCCACCUCGUCGUUCCCACCACCAAUCUGAACUGCCACUCGGUAGUCUUCAAGCCAAGUUUCAGGCUUAGACUCACCAGUGAACUUGCUGACUCCUGUUGCCAACCUGAAAUUGGGAGGGAUAACUGCGGCUCUGAUAGCUCUGCUGAAACAUUCAGGACCAGAAACAUGCACUCGACUGCUGGUGGGCGCCUCUCUGUCGAGUCCGCCCCGAUGGGCUCUGUUCCGGUCGACCAAACCUUGCACGAUAAUGGAUCGCGCGUCGAAGCCUGGUUCUCUGGGGUCGACUGGAACCCUUCGCCCUGUACUGUACUGACGCCUGUCAUCUUGACAUCGAGGAGCGUAAGACCCACCCCUCGGAGGGGAAUUGGGCACUCGACGCCUAUCAUCUCGGUCGAGUCUGUCGCCAUAUUGAUCUCGCCGAUUCUCGCGCCCUUCACGCCGCGGAGGCGAUCUGGGGCUGUGAGCCGGCUGAACCGUAUUCACAGUGACGGAUCGACUGUGAAUUCUGUUGCGCGACUGAGACACGGCUGAAUUCUGAUCUCCUGCUGCCCGGAGCAGAUCCCUGAUCUGCAGCAAACCUCUGCCAGCUUCCGACUGCGAAGGCUGGAUGGACUCUGCUAUACGGGUCGCAGCUGCUAAAUUCUGGAUUGGGGUUCGAUAUACCUGAGUCGGCGGGAAGAGUUGAUGUCGACUGGUGUCGGGAACUCGUUGCCGCGCGCGCUCGUCGAGUGCUCGCUGAAGAUUCUCCAGUCGAGUGCGCUCGGCGAAAUUGGCCAGGCGCGCCUCCUCCAAGGCACGAGCCUCGGGGGUUUCUCCUGCGAUGGGAAUACGCAGGGCAUCCACGUUCCUGCGGCGAAAUUCCUCUCUUUGCAGAGAGUCGAGUGGCUCGGGCUGGUACUCUUCGUGGCGUCGUGCGGGGUCGCCUCCGUCACCUGCUCCCUCAUCACGGGCGAAGCCAGGGGGACUGCGGGGCCCGUCGACCAUCAAGAUUUCCGCCGCUGGAUCACUGCUACCGCACUCGGAUGCAGUCUCUACGGAGCCAGUCGACAGAUCGAACAAGCCGUAGAGAGAUUCGUCGGGCUCGAUUGCCGCAACUUGGGUGGUGGCCGAUUGGCGAGCCACUGCGUGCCUCACCCAUCGCUGAAGCCUCGACCGGCCCGAGCGCUUGCGCUGGCGGAAUACCGGGAGGGUGGACGAUGGAGGAGUCGACCGAUACUGGGUCGACGGUUGCCGCAGCAGAACACCGCGGACACAUGCGCGAAAAUGCGUCGCACCGCGGACGGGGAGCGCAUCUACGUCGAGUGGAGCCUCCUGGAGGCACGCGGAGUCGUCGGCGAUGAAGGUGAGAGUGCCGAGACGGAUCACUUGACCCCCGACCAAAACUCCAGCAGACACCAUGAUGAAAGUACUCGGAAGAAUCGCAACUUCUCCACAAAAUCGCUAAAACACCUGCCCCACGGUGGGCGCCAACUGUCGUGGUUCUAAGCCUGACAGUAGAGUGGGGGGUAGGUUUGGAGAGGCAAGGUCCUAGCUAUGGAGAGGUUGUAAACACAAGGGAUGUACGAGUUCAUGCCCUUCUCGGAAGAAGUAACAGCCCUACGUCUCGGAGCCCGGAGGCGGUCGAGUGGAUUAUGAGUAUAUGAGUUACAAGGUGCCGACCCCCUCUGCCUGUGGAGGGGGGUGGCUUAUAUAGAGUGCGCCAGGACCCUAGCCAGCCCACGUAGGAGAGGGUUUAAGGUGAGUUAAGUCUGGGGCGUUACUGGUAACGCCCCACAUAAAGUGUCUUUACUAUCAUAAAGCCUACUUAAUUACAGGCCGUUGCAGUGCGGAGUGCCUCUUGACCUCCUGGUGGUCGAGUGAGUCUUCGUGGUCGAGUCCUUCAAGUCAGUCGAGUGAGUCCCUCGUUGGUCGACUGGAAGGCGACUUCUUCUAAGGGUGUCCUUGGGUAAGGUACUUAGAUCAGGUUCGUGACCCUACCCUAGGUACAUGACCCCAUCACCGACUGGCGGCGCCCGAGGAAGAAGAGACAAGGAGCCGGUUGUCAGCCACAGUCGGACUCGCAUUACCAUAGAGCGCGACCGAGACGGCCGCCCAAGAGCAGUGGAACGACUGAACGACUGUCCGCCUCCCCCUCCCCGCAAGGAGAGGCGAGUCUCCCCGCCGCCUGUUGACCAUCCGACUCUCGGCGAUCGCCUUGGCCGCCGAGAGGGAGUUGGAGAGAAUGACGCCCGCCAUCGGAUCGACCGACUUCACCGAUCCUUGGCACUGGAAGAAGAAGACGAGCUGGGUCCGCCUUGUUUCGGGCCCCGCAUCUGGGACGAGCCCUUUCCCAGAGGGUGCACGCUCCCAAGAGACACGCCCAAGUAUACUGGCUCUGUGAAGCUGGAAGACUGGCUAGUCGACUACUCCACGGCUGUCAGCAUAGCAAACGGCAACAAGCGUGUCGCCAUAAAGUGCGUUCCACUCAUGCUCCAGGGCACGGCCCGGACAUGGCUGAACAGCCUAAAGCCCCACAACAUCAACAGCUGGGUCGACUUCACCGAAGCGUUCAUCCGCAACUUCACCAGCACGUACAAGUGUCCUCCCAAGCCUCGUCAGCUCUCCUUGUGCGUGCAAGGCCCCGACGAGUCGACUCGCGAUUACCUCACGCGCUGGGCCAAGCUCCGGAACUCCUGCGAGGGCGUGCACAAGGUGCAGGCCAUUGAGUACUUCACGGACGGGUGCAGAGAAGGCACCCUCCUCAAGCAUAAGCUCCUUUGCGACGAGCCAAAAACCCUCGACGAGCUGCUGAUCAUAGCGGACAAGUAUGCCACGGCCGACUCCUCCAUGAAGGCGGAGAUUCAAAUCAUCACAACUGGCAAAGUGGCCCUUCAAGCUCCAAGAACUCCAGCGGCAGACGCCGGCCGGCGACAACAGCAGGGCGACCACAAGCGCAAGGCCCCGCAGCCGGCAAGUCGUGACCGUUGAAGCCCAGCAGCCAGAUGAGCAGCCCCCGCCCAAGCGACAGAAAGGCGGCAAGCCAAACAGGUUGCCGGCCUUCUCCUAUGAGCAGACCUUGGAUGGACCUUGCAAGUUCCACAGCGGCACAAAGCCGUAGAAUCACACCACCCGGAAGUGCCACUGGCUCACCAGGAUCGCCAAGGGAGACGGCCUCCUGCCUCCNNNNNNNNNNNNNNNNNNNNNNNNNNNNNNNNNNNNNNNNNNNNNNNNNNNNNNNNNNNNNNNNNNNNNNNNNNNNNNNNNNNNNNNNNNNNNNNNNNNNNNNNNNNNNNNNNNNNNNNNNNNNNNNNNNNNNNNNNNNNNNNNNNNNNNNNNNNNNNNNNNNNNNNNNNNNNNNNNNNNNNNNNNNNNNNNNNNNNNNNNNNNNNNNNNNNNNNNNNNNNNNNNNNNNNNNNNNNNNNNNNNNNNNNNNNNNNNNNNNNNNNNNNNNNNNNNNNNNNNNNNNNNNNNNUGCAGUGCAAGACGAAUACCCUGAAGAGCAUGGAGCCCACAUGGUGUUUACCGGUGUGGUAGAUGAUCGGCCCAGCAGGCGGCUGCAGCGACAAGAAGUGAAUGCAGUAGCAUCGGAGAUGCCAGAGUUCAUGCACUGGUCCGAGAAGCCUAUCAGCUGGAGCAGGGCUGACCACCCAGAGGUGAUGCCGAGUCCGGGCUCCUAUGCCCUGGUCUUGGAUGCCACCUUUGCCACAGAUAGAUGAGCUACUCGCUUCUCGCGAGUUCUGAUAGACGGAGGCAGCAGCAUCAAUAUCCUGUACAAGGACACCAUGGAGAAGUUAGGAAUCAAGCAAAGACAGCUUCAGAACAGCCGAACUGUGUUCCACGGCAUUGUUCCUGGGCUUUCCUGCUCGCCAGUCGGCAAGAUCCUGAUGGACGUCCUCUUUGGGGACAAAGAUCACUUCCGUAGAGAGCCUGUUUGGUUUGAGGUGGUGGACCUUGAGAGCCCAUACCAUGCGCUGCUUGGCCGACCUGCCUUGGACAAGUUCAUGGCGGUCCCCCACUACGCCUACCUCAAGAUGAAGAUACCCAGUUCCAGGGGAAUUCUGACUGUGGCUGGCGACUACCGGAAGUCGUCUGCUUGCGCGGCUGAGAGCAGUCAGUUGGCCGAGUCCCUGGUAAUCGCGGCCGAGAAGGGGCUCCUCGAGCGAGUUGUGGCAAUGGCCGGCAAGCAGCCUGAGGUAUCGCCUAAAAGAGCCGGAGGCUGAGGGUUCGUUCAAACCUUCCAAAGAGACAAAGAAGAUACCUUUGGAUCCGGAGCACCCAGAGAGGUACGCUGUCGUAGGGGCAAACCUCGACAGCAAAUAGGAAGGCGAGCUCGUCGAUUUCCUCCGUGAGAAUCGGGACAUCUUCGCAUGGUCCCCCAAAGACAUGCCAGGUGUACCGAAGGAAUUCGCCGAACACAAGUUACAUGUCCGAUCUGAUGCAAAGCCAGUCAGGCAGCCCCUGCGCCGCCUGUCAGAAGAGAAGAGAAGAGUUGUCGGAGAAGAGAUAGCCCGACUCCUAGCAGCCGGCUUCAUUAUGGAAGUGUUCUUUCCAGAAUGGCUAGCAAAUCCGGUCCUGGUACUGAAGAAGAACAAGCAGUGGCGAAUGUGUAUCAACUACACGAGCCUCAACAAGGCCUGCCCCAAGGACCCAUUUGCUCUACCAAGAAUCGAUCAGGUGAUAGACUCCACAGCUGGAUGCGAGCUGUUGAGUUUUUUGGAUGCAUACUCAGGAUAUCACCAGAUCAAGCUGAGCCCGGCUGAUAGACUGAAGACCGCCUUCAUCACGCCGUUUGGAGCUUUCUGCUACCUCACCAUGAUGUUUGGCUUAAGGAAUGCCGGCGCCACCUUUCAGCGUUGUAUACAGAAGUGCCUCCUCAAGCAGCUCGGCGGGAAUGCCCAUGUCUACGUGGACGAUGUGGUGGUGAAGACGGAAAAGCGUGGAACACUGCUAGAAGACCUCAAGGAGACUUUUGAGAACCUGUGCCAAUUCCAGAUCAAGCUCAACCCCGAGAAGUGUGUCUUCGGAGUACCAGCCGGCCAGCUCCUUGGCUUCCUUGCCUCCGAACGCGGCAUAGAAUGCAACCCAGUAAAGAUCAAGGCCAUUGAGAGAAUGGAGGUACCCAGCUGACUGUUGGAUGUGCAGAAGUUCACCGGCUGCUUGGCGUCCAGCAGCCGAUUCAUCAAUCGGCUGGGCGAGAAAGCUCUCCCCUUAUACCAACUCAUGAAGAAGACCACUUUUUUCGAGUGGAACCAUAAGGGGGAUGAAGCUUUUCUCCAGUUGAAGAAGAUGUUGACUACUCCACCGGUCCUGGCGGCUCCGACUCCAAACGAACCUAUGCUCCUGUACAUCGCCGCCACCAGCCGAGUAGUCAGCACGGUCAUUGUAGUGGAACGCAAGGAGGAAGGCAAGGCGCUACCUAUCCAGAGACCGGUGUAUUACCUGAGCGAGGUACUGUCGACCUCCAAGCAGAACUACCCCCACUACCAGAAGAUGUGCUACGGCGUGCACUUUGCUGCCAAGAAAUUGAAUCCUUACUUUCAAGAGCAUCCAAUCACGGUGGUCUGCACGGCGCCACUUGCCGAGAUCAUUGGUAGCAGAGAUGCUUCGGGUCGAGUGGCCAAGUCGGCCAUAGAGCUGGCUCCUUACACCAUCCACUACCAGCCCCGCACCGCUAUCAAGUCACAGGCACUGGCCGACUUCCUCGUCGACUGGGCCAAGACCCAGUACCUACCUCCAGCGCCUGACUCCACCCAUUGGCGGAUGCAUUUCGACGGCUCCAAGAUGCGCACCGGCUCGGGAGCCGGCGUCGUCCUCACCUCCCCCAAAGGCGAUAAGCUCAAGUGCGCGCUGCAAAUCCACUUUGCCGCCUCCAAUAACGUCACCGAGUACGAGGCGCUCAUUCACGGGCUCCGGCUUGCCAAAGAACUUGGCAUCCACCGGAUCUUGUGUUAUGGCAACUCAGACUUAGUGGUCCAGCAAUCAUCUGGCGACUGGGACGCGAAAGAUGCAAACAUGGCGAGUUACCGUUUCCUCGUGCAGCAACUCAGCGGGUAUUUUGAAGGGUGCGAGUUCCUCCAUGUGCCAAGAAACGACAAUGACCAAGCAGAUGCCUUGGCACGAAUCGGCUCUACCCGCCAAGCAAUACCAUCGGGCGUCGCCCUUCAACACCUCCUCAAGCCGUCUGUCAAAGCCUUCACUAGAAUCAGACUCCAUUUUUGUGACGGCUCCUCCCGAAGACGUCGGAUCCGACUCCAGAGCUCCGGCAGUCGGUACGAGGAUUUUGGCGGAAGACCCCAAAGCUGCCACAGUCAAACCCGGCUCGGGGACUGCGAUGGCGGACUCGAAGACUCCAGAACUUGGCCCAAGGACCGCGCCAGUCGGCCUGGGGACUUCAUCAACCCAGCAAGCGACUGUUGACUCCAACCCGCCGCCUCCCAGCCCAACCGCCCUUGUCCAAGUCGCAGUUCUAGUAGUCGAAGAAAUAGCAGCACCCUCAUGGGCCCAGCCCAUCCUCAAAUUCCUGGUGAACAAAGAGCUGCCGACUGAUGAAACUUUAGCUCGGCAAAUACAACAUCGAGCGGCAGCCUACACCAUAGUCAACAGAGAGCUGGUCAGGCGCAGCGUCACUGAUGUCUACCAGCGCUGCGUAGAGCCAAAGCAAGGCCAAGCGAUUCUCAAAGACAUCCAUCAAGGCGAGUGCGGCCACCAUGCGGCUUCAAGAGCACUCGUCGCCAAAGCCUUUUGACACGGUUUCUUCUAGCCAACUGCCUUGGAAGAGGCCAAGGAGUUGGUCCAAAAAUGCAAAGGGUGCCAGAAGUUCAGCUCCAAGCCGCACCAGCCAGCUUCUGCACUCAAGACCAUCCCUAUUGCCUGGCCUUUCGCAGUUUGGGGUCUAGACAUGGUGGGACCAUUCAAAACAGCAUGAGGUGGUUUAACUCACUUACUUGUCGCAGUGGACAAGUUCACCAAGUGGAUAGAAGCAAAGACAAUCAAGAAGUUGAACGGUCCGACUGUCAUAACUUUCAUCUCCGAUAUCACAAUUCGGUACGGCAUACCACACAACAUCAUCACCGACAACGGCACAAAUUUUGCCAAAGGCGCCUUGGCCCGUUUCUGCGCAACACAGGGCAUCCGAGUGGACCUAGUGUCCGUCGCCCAUCCGUAGUCAAAUGGCCAAGUGGAGCGAGCAAACGGCCUCAUCCUGUCCGGCAUCAAGCCUUGGCUGAUCGAGCCUCUGGAGCGCUCGGCUGGCUGCUGGCUCGACGAGCUGCCAGCCGUCCUCUGGAGUCUGCGCACGACUCCAAACAAGUCAACCGGCUUCACACCCUUCUUCCUCGUCUACGGUGCCGAAGCCGUCAUCCCAACGGACAUAGAGUUCGACUCCCCACGAGUCACCGUGUACACCGAGGAGGAAGCAGAAGAAGCACAACAAGACGGCGUCGAUCUGCUGGAAGAGGGACGGCUGUUGGCACUCAGCCGGUCCAGCAUCUACCAACAGAGCCUGCGCCGAUACCACAACAGGAAGGUCAGGCCAAGAUCUUUCCAAGAAGGCGACCUUGUGCUCCGGCUGAUCCAGCGAACAGCCGGCCAGCACAAGCUGUCGGCGCCUUGGGAAGGCCCUUUCAUCAUCAGCAAAGUAUUGGGCAACGAUUCCUACUACCUGAUCGACGCUCAGAAGCCCCGAGCAUGCAAGAGGGAUGACUCCGGCAAGGAGACAGAGCGGCCAUGGAAUGCAAAUCUCCUUCGAAGAUUUUACAGUUGAUGCAGUAUGUACCAUGCUACCUUUUUGUAUUAAAGUACCAAGACUUCGGGCCCCCCGAGACGAGCUCGGGGACUGCCCUCUUUUGUCUGUAUGAUAAAAAUUAUGCCUACAAGUAUGUUACUCUUUGCCAUGCCGCUUGGCACCGGGCUCGACAAGUCGGCCCGGGGACUUGCUGCCUUGCACUAUGAAAUGCUUCCUGCAGCCGGACAAGUAGUGUGUUACACCUAAACCGUCUUCUGUCAGAAGCCGCAGAUCACAGAGCGACUGUACGGUGGGCAGAGGUAAGGUAGAAUGGGUGUUCGCAUGAAAAAGGGUUAAGGACUCAAAGCAUAAAACAUAGCUCAAGACGGCUUCCAGCCUUUCUCGCAAACCGACUCUCGGAUAGUCAGAUUGCCAUCUUCUAUCCAACUUGCUAAAAAACUCUUUAAAAACGGCUAAGUACUUGCUUUCCCAAAGUAGCCAAGCACUUGAUCCAGCAACAGUCCGCAGAGCGGCUGUCCGAUUGGCAAGGCAGGCAACUAAGAGAAAGCGGCAAAGGAAAAAAGCCAAAAGAGCAAUGAGCAAGAAAAGAUAGAACUCAGAUAAAUAUAUUUACAUAACAUAGGCCCUUGGCCGAAUUUUCGAGCAGAGGUUCAAAAUACACCCCGCGGGUGGAAUUGUGUGAAUUAACAAGUUCUUCAAAGACUACUGAAGUAGACAAAACAAAUAUACAACGGCGGCUUAGGAAGCAGUAGAUGGAUUCGGAGGGUCGGAGGAGGCGCCAGUGCCAGGUGUCGAGUCGGCCGGCUGGCUAGUCUCAGCUUGAUCGCCUCCGGCGGCAGUCGGGUCGGUCGCACGCGGCUCGUUGCUGGAGGCACGGUCGAGCUGAGGCUGGCCGUCUGCUCUGUCUUCUGGUGCCUCCGCCUCGCCUCCGUCCUCCGCCUCGCCCUCUUCCUCGACGCUGGAGCCAAUCACCUCCGCCGAGUCCUCGCCGUAGUCUGGGUUCAUCCCAAACCACUCCGGCGAUACCUCCUCGCCGUCUUCAGACCGCUCGGGGAUGAAGAUGCUGGUGUCGGUGUACUCGGCGAUCGCCGCAGCACGCUUGACGAGGGCAUCUUCCGCGGCUGCCAGCUCUGGCUGGGCCUCCGACCGAAGCGUGGCCAGCCGGUCUAGGUCUAGCCCCGGAUACCAUGCCUUGACGAACUCCAAGGCUCGACGCGCUCCAUCUCGGGCCGAAGAGCCCUUCCAGGCCUCAAGACGACCAGUCGCGACCUCCAGCCAGUCGGCCGUCAGGCUGGGGGUGCGCGGAGCCUGCAUAUCCGGCCACAGGGCGGCAAUCGCCUGGGCACCGACAUGCUGAAGCCGGCACAGCAUCCGGUGAGCCGGCCGAAGGCGAGCCUCGAUGCUCAGGAUGUGCUCGUCAAGAGUUCGGGGGGCGUCGGCGGCAAUCUCUACGCCCUCCACCCUCCGACCUUCAUGGUCAGCCUCGAUGGCUUGGAUGGCGGCCUGCGACUGCCCAGGGAAGAAGUCUGCAAAGACAGGAAGAAAUGAAGAAGCAAGUCAAAAACCAGGAGUCGGCACGACUUAAGUCGGCAGCUCAAAGAAAGAAAAUAAAGAAACUCACCAUCAACGAUGUCUUCAAUCUCGUGGAAGCUGGAGGACAGUAGCGCCUCCUUGUCAGACCAGGAGGAGCGCUCGCUCGCGGACUCGGCCAGGAGGGCGGUUUCCAUCUCCUCCGCCUCCCUCUGCGUCUUCACAAGCAGCUCCUUCUGCUCUGCCAAUUGAGUGGCCAGCAGAUCGCGCUCCGUGGCAAGCUUGCUGCACUCCUCCUCUUUGGCACGCAAAGCGGAGUUGGUGUCGCUCAGCUGCUGUUGAAGAGCAGCGUUGGCCCCUGAGAAGAAGAAACAAUGAAGGCGUCAAGCCAUCAGGAAAAGAGGGUUGCCAGGGAGAUCCAGCCCGACUGCUCAGCAGUCGGCCCGAAUCUCGGGGACUACAGCCCGCGGGUGCGCCAGCGCGCCCCCGCGAAGAAGGAAAAGGACUUACUCCGGCUCUCCGACAGAUCGGCAGUCCGCUUACCCAGCUCUUCAACGUUACGGUUGAAGGUAGUGACGCGGAGGUUGUGGUAAUCCUGCGACGAAUGUUUCAGACAAAAAGUUAGUACCCAAAGUUCAUCAAUUGGAGUUCCGGGCUGCCUGCUCAGCAGCCAGCCCGAAACUCGGGGACUACACCCAAGGGGUGCGCUGUCGCGCCCCCACAGAGAGGAACAAGAAAAAUAAAGACCAAAGGGAAAAAACAUACCCGGACGGCUGCCCGCGACACCAGGAAUGCCUUGGUGCAACUCUGGAGAGCGUCGCCCUCAGUGCGAAGCUUCGCCUAGACGUCCAGGAGCGCCUGGUUCAGCAACCCUGUGCCGCCUCCUUGCACCCACCCAAUGGGCGCGACGCUCGUCGCCUCGGCGUCUGGGAUCGCCGAGCUGGCGGCGCCGGCUUCCAGGGGGCGGGGUGCCAAAGUCGCCUUCUCCAGACGGCGGCGCGUUGGCGAGCCGACUUGGAGGAGUAGCCUCGCCACGGCCUCGUCUUCGGUCGGCGACAUCGGAGGGUCCGCCGGCUGCUCGCCCUGCGCACCUUCAGACGGUGGCAGAGGCAGCGGCGGAACGUUCACAUCCGGCGUAGAGGGGUCGCCACCCUCCCCCUCCAUGAUGGGGUUCUCCCCGCCGGCUUCCCCAGUCUGCCCCGUGAACUCCGGAGGCGGCGGCGCAAAGUUCAACGGGGUGACAAGCACCACCGACUAGCGGCGUGCGGCUUCCUCAGCCUGCCGCUUCGCCGCCGCGGUGGCUUCGGCCUCCGCCAGUUUUUUCUUAGCGGAGGCCUCCGCCUUGUCGGCCUCCGCCUUCUCCAGGCGGAGGGCCUCUUCUUCGUUGCACUUCUCCUGCGCAUGACGCUCUGUCGCCUCCCGGAGGUCAGCAGCGGGGUCAAUCCACCGAGUGGUGGCGGACAUCUCCGCUGACCCCAUGACGGAGGCAGCGGUGACCCUCUCAAGAGAGAGGAGAGCCCUGAAGCAAGAGGGGCAAGCAGAGACUCAGACAAAGUCACAAAAAAGAAUAAAACUUUGAAGACAGAAUACUUACGCAGAGACCAAAGGCGGCUUCUUCACUUCCUUACGGAAGCGGAUGGCCUUCGCGGCCGCCUCGUCCCGCUGGGUUGCCGCAGCCGAACCCUUGGGCUUCUUCGGCCGACUGCCGAACAAGGUCGGCACGGCCCUGUGCUUCUUCCCGCCGCCUGGAGCGCCCGGUGCGGCAGAAGAGCCCGCGCCAGGCUGGCUGGCUCCUGCUCGAUGGCGAGGGGCGACUUCUCCCUCGGCGUCGUCGUCGGGCCAGUCGGCGAAAGUGGCCGAAGGCCUGAAGUCGCCUGCUAUUCCUCCUCCUCCCUCGGCGUCGUCCUCCAAAGCCGCCGCCCCCAGAUCGGGGUCAUCGACGUCGCUCUCCGCCCGGUCGGCGAGGAACUCGUGGGCCGGCCCCGAUGUACCGGCUGGUGGGUGGAGGAGGGGAUUCUAACCAAAGCCGACUGGUCAAAACAAAACUUGGCAAGAAAGAAGACAAUCCAAAGAAAGAAAGGAAAGGCGACUCACCACGGGCAGGGGGUUGGCGCGGGAGUACGGCUCCUUGCUGAACCGCCAAUCCUCCAGGAGCCUGCUGUCCGAGAGGUAGUUCACCAUGAAGGCCACCUCUUCGUGAGGCAUGUCCUUGGUGCACAUCCGACUUGGGUCGCGGUGCCCGCUCAUCUGGCAUAUCAUAUGGGGGCGGCCUUGGAGUGGGAGAACUCGGCGCGAAACAAAGACGGCCAGCAGGUCCGGACCAGUCAAACCCUCCGACUGCAUCAGCACUCGGAGUCGCGUGAUGGUGCCGGCUUCCGCAGGCAUCAGCGACUUGGCCCGGUACGACCAGUUGGGCAGCCGCCCAGCCGGCGGGCCAGCUUCGAAAGCUGGCAGGUUGACCCAGUCCCCCCUCGCGGAGGCGUUCUUGACGUAGAAGUAGGAUCUCUACCACAUCUUCACCGACUUGAUCAGCGAGAUGGAGGGGAAGGGAUUGUCGGCCCCCGACCUUCGCACAACGAUGAAAGCGCCGCCUUGAGCCGGCACGCCCGCAGCCUGGGUGCCGAGCUUGGAGAAGAAGAACUCCCCCCAGAGCUCGACGGUUGGGAGGACUCUGAGGAAGCCUUCGCACAUGGCCACGAAGGCAGACAGCAGCACCACUGUGUUGGGGGUGAGGUGGUGCGGCUGGAGGCCGUAGAAAUCCAGGAAGGACUGGAAGAAACUGCCCGCCGGCAGCCCCAACCCGUGCAGGCAGUGCGGGCGGAAGAUAACCUGCUCGCCCUCCCGCGGUGCGGGGGAAAUCUCCCCCUUCAGCGCAAGACGCACCUGCACGCGAUCCUCACCGGGGAGCCGACGAGUCCGGCGGAGGAACUCAAUGUGGUCUUCAUGAACUUCAGAGCUAUCCCAGGUGCCGGAGCGCACUAGGGGAGGCGCGGCGGCAGAGGAAGAACUCAUCGCAGGCUAUCGCCGCAGCGUUCGCCGGAGCUUGGGCGCGCGGCGGAGCGAAGAAGAAGAGGAAGGAGGAGAGCAAAGAAGAAGAGGAAGGAAGAGAACGAGGAGCAGUAGGAAGGAGGAGCGCGCGUGCCCCAUCCCCCUACUUAUAGCUUCGUGGGCUGCGAAGCCGAGGGGGCGGACGUGGGGAUUUACUGCGCCCACGCCCCCACGACCCCCAUGAUCCACGAUAAAGUUACUGCACGCAGCAACUCCGUGGGAAUCCCAACCGUCCAUCGGGGCCGCAGCGGAUCCGCUCGGGCGCCGAGGCGCGGUAGUGGCGGGCCCCGCCUAUGGGCAUGUCCCGUCGCGCACGUAGGCUACCAGGACGGCCCAACCACGUGCCAUCGCGUGACAGGCCUAGAACGGGCGGCGGCCUGGAGGCUUAGCUAGCACGCCACUUAAAUCCUGCCACGACGUUCAAAAUAUUGAGCAAGUCGGAAUUGAGUGAGUCCGAGCUGAGCAAGUCCGACUCCUUCUAGUCGGCCCGGCGGAAGUCAAUCAAAGACCAUGUAUUGAGCACCCGGAAAGACAAACUGCUGAGGCUUCUCGGCCGAUCGUCUGUGGCGCCUCACCAGCUUUGGGGACUACUAUCGGAGUAAUGGGCCACGGGUAGGCCAACCCGAGCCCCAGAACCUUUCAAGACAUCAGAGCAGGCUGCGCCCCUCAAGACCCCAGGAUGAAGAGCCGCCUUCUGAGGAGUCGAUGGAAAGACGGCCGACUUCCCGCUCACGGCUGAGUCCCAGGGACGACUUCGGGACAAAGCCGACUCCCAACAGGCGACUUCCAGAGAAGUCGGCUUUGGGGAGUCGGCCUGCGACUCCAACAAAACCCCAUGACCUCAUCAAAGGGGACGAAGCUGGGGCGUGGCUACAGCAAAGCCCACCCCCGCCCCUCACCAUGGGCAGGCAUGGCCACUGCACACCGUACCCCGGAAGAUCUCUGCGCGGCGUGGCACUGUUGCCAUGCCAGCCCUGACAUCAGUACCGCAGGACCGAAUCCUGCACCCAUGACGGCUUGUCUGUACGGCCUAGAGGCAGCAGGCCCCACCAGUCAGUGAGACCUCAGGAGACGGCAGGGGAACCACCAGUUGGACCCAUCGGGAGUCAGCCCGGGGGAGUCGGCCGAGCCCUCUCCCGGGGCCCAGACGCCAUUAAUUAAGAUGUGAUGGGGAGUGGCAACAGUGAUCGCCGCCAGGCGGCGGGGCCGUUGCCACGACCUCAUGACCAAGCCUGCGACAUCGGAAGCACAGCUAGAGUAAUCAGCAGCCAGCAAGACCCGCCCGUGAUGGACACGGCCUGUCGGCUCCGUACCAGGCUAGUCGGCGGGGCCCGCCAAUCGGCAGGCCCCAGCGGUCAGCAGGGAAGACGGAGGCCAGAGGCACUGACGGCUGGGCCCGCGUCCAGCCAGAUUAUCAUUGUACCCCUGGGGGGUAGGCCUAUACAAACCCCCCAGGGCACCCAUGCAAAGGGUUGGAACCCAUUAGCUGUAGACCAGAUCAUAUAGAAGGGAGAGAGCUAGCCUUGCCCUCUCCUACCUCCAAGAAACAGCUCAAGGAGCAACCGUGUAAGCACUUGGCCAUAGUGAUCAUGCGGAGACCCCGCAGAGCAGCAGUAGGGGUAUUAUCUCCUCGGAAAGCCCUGAAGCUGGGUAAGAUUCACCGGCGUGCAUGUCUUCGCCUCAUCCCAUUUCCAGGCACCGGCGAUGUUCUACUCGCCCCCACCACCGGCGUGCAUGUCUUCGCCUCCUCCCUUUGGCAUAUGUCGCACCAAACCCCCGACACACCACAUCUAGAAGGCCAUGGAAAAAUCUGGCGCGAUGGCCGUGACCGGCGCCGUCCACCCCCCAAUCUUGGUGUUCCGUGCAAUGCACGGGCAUCUACGCACGGGAAAUUAUGUCGAACAUGGCUAGUUGUAAGCAAGCUAGGUCUAUAGCCAUGAUGAUAGUGAAUGUAGAUGGUGAGGCUGACUAUGGUAUGCCGAACACGACGCCUAUACUCAGGUGUCAUCUCCGGCGUAGGGUCUUGUCACUUCACUAUGAGGAGCAACACAUAAUAAUUUAACCAACGGGUAGUACAGUGCUACUACAUUGGUAGUACUACUACUAGUAGUACUAGCACCACCGUCUGGAUUUAGUAGUACUACCACGUCCAUCUGGAUUUACUAUUUGACUAGCAAUAUCUAGUAAUGCAUGUCACAAAAAAUGUACUACUCCCUCUGUAAAUAAAUACAUGGUGUAUUGUUUUAUUCCUAUUGGCGAGAUAACUUAAUGUCUUUUUGCUACUUAAUAGGAUUACAUGCAAUGAACUAACCACUGCAUGUGAUGUUUGGUAGUCUCAAGUCAUUGAAAGCAUGCACGGGCACGGAAGGGGACGUAGCUUCAUUGACUUACUGCACCUGCCUUUGGGUGUAUGACACGUGGGCCCAACGGGUGGCUGGCCAACCUGUUAUACAGCCAAAGGCAGGUGCAGUAGAGGGGCGAGGAGUAGAUGGCCAACACGCACAUGAAUUCAACGCAGUCUGCACUUCUCAUAUAAAGGCUCCCGCCAGUCCAAUCUACGAAAUCCUACGCACCUACGCACCCAAGGGCAAGAGUGAUCACUCCAAUCGCAAGAUCAGUUGACUAGAAGCUAGACCCAUGGAGGCGAUGAGCGCGAGCAUCAGCCGGCUGUGCCAGAUGGUCCAUGACGCCGGCCUACGGCCCUACACCGAGGAACGUCUCCAGGUAGUGCUUGAGGCCGCCAGGGCGAGGGGCCGCUUGGACGACAUCUUCGUCUCCUUGUUCGACGAGGUCCUCGUCGGCUUCCUCGACAAGUUCACCAUCAUCAAGAAGCUCGCGGACGACCUUGACGUACGCCUCCAGCCCACGAGCCCAGACUCUGUGAUGCCUGCCACCCUGAACGGCCUCUAUGAUGACAACCUCUUCGACGCACUAGUGGCCCUGCGACUGCCCGCUGUCGCACCGGAGAAUGUCCACCUCGAGGUCGCGCUCGUCAUGCAGCGCCUGGCGCAGCAAGACACCAUCGACAUAAUCACCCACGUCUACGCGCAAAUCGUCCACAAGGACUACUACAUGCAAGAGGAGGAGGAUAGGACGCUAGCCUUCUUGGACCGCAGGGCAACCUUGGAUGGCAUUGUUCAGAAGCACGUCGAGCUUGCUGCUAACACCGCUGCUCCUCACACGUUGGCUGGUGACCCGGUGCACUAGGGCGUGAGGAUGUCGUUGAUGGAUCCGUAUGUAUCUUUAUCUUUCCGUCAAAUCCAUGUAGUAGUAUAUGGUACUACUAGUAAUUAUCUUACCUUUUGCAUCAACUUCAUAAUUUUCCUACGUACUCCAUGCAUGAACCACGCCAGAACCAAACUUCUCAUUACUCUAGGGAAAAUCGUUAUUUCUAUCUAUCGGUCGCGCCAUGGAGCAGAACCAAAUUUUACAAGUUACAAGUUCAAAAGGAAAAGCCUGCCGUGUUCGCAUCGCACCCCCACACGGUUGGUCCGGCAUGCCGCUCAAGGGGGAAUGCGUGUUGUGUUGCAUUUUCACUUACAAGUGGGACCGCAGUUGAGCAAACCGACUAUCGGCAAACCCCCACCCCGCCCACUGCGCUAUGGCUAAGAAAAUAGGAGGGAGAAGAGAUGGUUGUAGCAUGGACUCCAAGAAAAUUGGUGUUGGAUGGGAUCCGUGUGGGUGGUGUGUGCCAUACUGCUAGACAUGAAUGCUAGUUAUGGCCCAUGCCACCCCACUAUAUCGAGGUGCUGGUUACGGAGAAUAAAUUUCCUGGAGUCCGUGCUCAGCCCUCCUCUAUCUCUCUUCUCAGCCAGCCAGCAAACACGUGGAGCCCAUCAUCUGUUUGCUCAUAUGUGGUCCCACAUGUCAGUGAAAAUGCAAGAGGACCCACUGAACCUGCACAUCUUUCACCUCGACAUGCUGGUGAUGAAAAACAAAUCCAAUAAAGAUCUUCGAUGGCCGCUUUUGGAGUUACUCAAGAGUAGUAAGAUUCUAUUUACAAUUUAACUCAAGAUGCACAUCAGGUGGCUUCAACUACCACUUUAUUUUCUUGCAUGACAUGACCUGGAUGCUGGAUGUCCCACGUGUCAGCAAAAGGAGGAAGAACUCGACCAAAUCUUCGGUUGUGCUAACUUAAAAUUUUAUUGUGUAGAAUGGAUGCAAGUUUUGGUAUUAGGAAGAAGAGUACAACAAUAUAUUGAUAGAGCGCAAUUUAGUAGAUGUUAUAGCACUUUUAGCUAGCAUAGAGGCUAGAGAUGAGACUAGUGCACUUGUUGAUAUAAUAGAGGCUAGACACGUCUACUUCUUUACACUCGAAGAAGAAAGAAAGCACGCAAGAUCGACCCUCCGCAGAUCAACAAUGAAUGCAUCGAGAAGGCACUAAUCCAACUUACAGGAGCAGUUAUAGAAGUUGGAUAUCUUCUAAAAUGUAUUCUUGUGGUUCUUGUUUUCUUUGGUCUUGCUUUUCUAGUCAAAAUUUUGGUGAUGUAUUUCCAUGUACCAAAAAAUCAAUGAUGAAAAAAAGAUAUGUGUUUGCAAAGAAAAAUGUACUCGGCCGGGAUGCGUCCGCGCGUUCGGUGCACGGCCACCGCAUCCGAGAAAUGGCCCGGACAUGACCCCAUUGCCCUACCCAAACGGACAGAAUCCGGGCAAAACGGAGGUCCAUUUGGGGUCAUGCGUUGGAGUUGGCCUUACAAGUGGGACCGCGGUUGAGGAAACCGACUAUCGGCAAACCCCCACCUCGCCCGCCGCGCGAUGGCUGAGUUAGAGAAAUGGCGAGGUUGAUGAGAGAUUGUUGUAGCACGGACUCCAACAAAUAUGGUGUCAGAUGGAAGUCGUGCUAGUGGCGUGUGCCGUACUCCUGGACGUGAAUGCUUAUUCUGGCCCAUGCCACCCUACUACUCCUACUACUUAUAGUAGUAGUAGUAUCAAGGAUUCGAGGGGCUGGUUACGUACAGUGAACACAUUAACAUGUGACCCACCUCACACCAUGGCCAAAUUUCCUGGAGUCUGUGCUAGGUUAAAAAGUGUUCUUUGUGAGGAUGGGUGGCUGGUCUCAAGUUUAAAACUUGUUGUAUUACGUACGUAGACGUAGAGAUAGUGCAGUAUGUGAAGCUAGUACAUAUAGUGUACUAUUUUUGAUUGGCCUCAUCCGAUAACCCGUUGCAAUGCACGUACAAUUAUGUACUCAGAAAAUAUUUUUUUGCCUCAUCGCAGCACCCACUCAGAGAAGCGACUCGAAAGCCAUUCAUAAAUUUAGUAAGUUUAUCACAGGCAUAUCAUUUUAUUACAUACAACAGGUCAUCAACCCAUAACGACAACGAGGAUACAUUAUAAAUCCUAAAGUUUUCAUCACACAACAAAUAACAAGCAAUGAAAUGAACUUUAACUCAAGAAAUCAUCGGCGUUGGAAACGCUUGCUUUGAACCACAAGUGAUUCUCUGGGAAUGGCCAACUACUGUCAAUCUCGAGACCAACGCAAGACUGAUCAUCCAGGCUGAAGCGACCUACUAUAUCAUGACAAGGGUAGGGAACCGCCGCAAUGUCCGACGUAUAGAUACAAUUUCUUCUCGUAAAUGGUAGUAAUGAUGUGUCAACAGCAGUUGGAUCGCCUUUCACCAUCAUUGGAUAGUUUUGUCCAAGGAAGAGUGAGUUUGCUCCAAGACUAUCAAUAUUGUACCAUGGAGAAGGUGUUGGCGCUAGCACAGUAGUAAACAUCCCGAAUACCAUACAACGGGUGUUGGAAUAGGUCCGAAGAGUGCGACCAUGGGAGACAACACCUGCUUUCUUAGUACUAACAUCAGCAGUGGGCUAGAUACAGACAAGAAGGGGUGAUCUAUCAGAAGUUGCCAGGCGCCACCGAGUAUAUCGGCCCUCCUCGUCCUCAUCUCCCCCUUGGUUAUAAAAAAAUUCAAGUAUAGGUGGUGGAAUGUCCACAGGACCUUGGAAACACAAGAAGAAGGUUAAUUAGUAGAGAAGGGAAACUUGCUAACUCGCAUGCAUGUGGAUGAAACAAUUAUAAUUAUGGUGGAAGACAAACGUACCGAAACUACGAGGAUCGCAUGCAAAAACAGUGCCAUGAGUCGUGGCAGCAAACACAAGACCCUCAUAUUCAAUUGCAUCACAGUACACAUCCGUGUAUAGAAACUGAUUUUGAGCAAUAUCCAUCCAGUCGAACCACGAAGGACGGCAACAAACUUUUCGAAGAUAGCAACAACUUGAUAGUUCUUGUAAUUCCAAGAGCGGUUGGGAACUCGAGAAAUUGCUAUCUUCCGUAGACGACAGUCACCAUGAUCAUAUUUGAACGUACGUAGAUCAUCUGUGUGCUCAACAUCAGGGCACUCGGAGAUUUUUGGAAGUGGAAUCCGCUGACGAGUGUACACAUUCAGAAGUUCCCACUCGCAAUUGUACCCAAUAUAAACAACCCAAUCUCCAUUUGCGCUUGCCCAAGCCUUGCCCUCAAGCGAUGGCAUCUUAACAUUAUAUGUAUCCUUAUCAAACGGCAUCAACUUGCACAAGGCAAGGCUUCCCCCGUCCCCAUGCCAGUCAGCAGGGUCACGGCGAAGAAGAUAGGGGAGAUCAAACCGCUCCUGGACCCUUGGGUUCCUUGUAAUGAUGUUAUUAGUUGAGUCGAGAAUGUUCUUGAAUGAACCUGCCAUGCUAGCCGAGGUGAUGACGUCGCACCGAUCAAUGAGUUCCCCCACCACGUCAUCUUUCAGAUCGGGGCAAGAAUAACGGGGUCAUUUCUGGCUUGUUCCCUCCAUGGAGAAGAUGAUCGAACAAUGGCAGAAGGAGGGUGAAGGCAAAUGGAGGAGGAAGGAAGAUCAUGCGACAGCAGUUCCAAAUCGAGAGGGAAAGGCGAAGAGUCGGUGGACGGUUGCCAGUUUGCCGCGGUACACGAAGAGGUACCCGGCCUACACGUCCUUUCGAAAAUUGUACAAAAGGACUCGCUGCCGUCUCACUGACAUGUUGGAACGGGACCACAUGUCAACAAAACAUGGUGUGCAAUUUUUUGUGUAAAAUGCGAUCUGGCCGCGUUGGCCCGAGGUGCCGCAUUAGUUAUGGACCUUUAUUUUUUAACAUACAAUCUGAGUGGAUAGCUCCUGUGGUCAUCACAUGUGAGCGGAUAUAUAGGUGGGCUAGGUGCGCAGGCGGCAACAAUCUAAGUACUAAAAGAGUUGAUCUCGAAAAAAGAGUUGAUCCAAUGCUUUGUUUUGUUUGGGUUUUCCAACCAUGACCAUUGGAUAGAGUGAAUCAAUGGCUUACGUUCAAAGUUAUUCUCAUAGUACUAUAGAAUGGUAUAGGAACGUGGAGAGAUUUCAUUGAUUUUAUAUCGUUGAAUAAUAUAAAAUAUUAUGAGUGCAGACGCUCCACCCCGAGGUUUGUAGCUCCUUCUCGGUCGUCGGGAAUCUAUGUUCUUCCACUCUUUCGUUCAAGACAUGAGCUUUGUUCAUCCUGUUGCCGGCACGCGAGACAUAUAUAUGCCUCCAUUUUACAAAAUCAUACUAUAUGCCUCCAUGACAUGCGGGACAUCUAGCAUCAAGGUGGCGUGUCAUCCAAGAAAAUGGAGAUAUGCAGUGCGUAAGUGAGUCGUGCACUUCGAUGGCACCUAGUAGUACUACGCAAUAUUUAUUCUCCUCGAUGGCACAUGAAUAGUGAACAUGCUCAAUGACAGAGCAUAGGAUGGUAGCCAUGGACAUGGUCGGCCCUUUUUGAAGAGAGUACUAAUAAAUACGUAACUUUGAUGUGUCCCAUCAACUCGCAGAACGACGAGAAGCUUGCUUACUACGCCUUCUCCCUCGCCAACGCGUGCGUGGUGGCUCGCAGCACAAGGAGAAACUUUUGCUUACAAGCGAUGGACGUGCAGUAGUUCAUUUGGUGUCAGAUUGCCAGAAGUAGUACCAUCAUUAUUGUUCGACUUCCAAAAGAGGAGAAGAGCCAAGCGCAAGGUCACCUACUAACCUAGUACAGUACUAGUAUAGGCAAAGCUGGUCCACCUUUUUAGAGCAUGGUUAAUUAAUAUAGGCGGCUCUUGCAGCGGCACAUCAUUUAGAGCAAGUACUCUCUUCGUAGGAUCAAAGGAAGUGAAACAAAAGUUGGAGUGGAUGCUAGAUUGCCAAUUAAAACAUGAUUACAUAGGGAAAAUCCUAUAGCAUUCUAUCCUAUGAAUCAAACGACCAAUGUAGGAAAAUUAUGAGGGGGGUCUCUCCAACAGUGUUCCUCGGCUCGCACCUAGCAUCACGGUGGUCGAACUUGGAGUCAUUCAUCUGGUACACGUGGCAUCUCAGAUCUGGUACUCCAAUAUUAGGUUGGCUCUAUGUGAUGUGGCAACUUCAUAUAAUAACUGGAUGCUGGCUAUACUACUACGAUACUCACACUCCAAGAAGUGACUUGAAAACCAUUCAUAAAUUGAGUCUAUGACACGCAUUGGCAAAUGUACCAUUCAUUACAUACAACAAGUCAUCAACACACAACGACAAUGAUGAUACAUGUUGGAUUAUAGAUUACUUCCAACAAAACAUUCUAGUAAAUACUGAAGUUUUCAUCACACAACAAAUAACAAGCAAUGAAAUGAACUUCAACUCAACCAAUCCUUGGCGUUGAAAACGCUUUCUUUGAACCAUAGGUGCUCUGGGAAGGGCCAGCUAUUGUCAAUAUCGAGGGCAACACAUGACUAAUCAUCCUGGCGAAAGCGGCAUAUAUCAGGAGCAGGGUAGGGAACCACCGCAAUGUCUGAGGUAUAGAUAUAGUUGCUUCUCAUAAAUGGUAGUAACAUUGUGUCAACGGCAGCUGGAUCGCCUUUAAUCAUCAUUGGAUAGUUUGGUCCAAGGAAGAGUGAGUUUGCUCCAAGACUAUCAAUAUUGUAGCAGGGAGAAGGUGUUGGCGCUAGCACACCAGUAUCCAUCCCGAAUACCCUGUAACAGGUGUUGGAAUAGGUCCGGAGAGAGCGACCAUGGGAGACAACACGUACUCCCUCGGUAGUAACAAUCUCAGUGCACUGUAUACAUACAAGAAGAGGUGAUCCAUCAGAAUUAGUUACCAGCCGCCACUGAGUAUAUAAGUUCUGCUCGUGAUCAUCACCAUCGCCAUCUCCCCUUGGGUUAUAAUUUUUUUCAAGUAUAGGUGGUGGAAUGUUCACAAGACCUUGGAAACACAAGAAGGUUAAUUAGUAAAGGGAAACUUGCUAACCCGCAUGCAUGUGGCUGAAACAAUUAUAAUUACGAUGGAAGACAAACGUACCGAAACUACGAGGAUCCCAUGCAAAAACAGUGCCACGAGUGGUGGCAGCAAACACAAGAUCCUCGUAUUCAAUUGCAUACAGUACUCAUCCAUGUACAAAAACUGAUUUUUGAGCAAUAUCCAUGGAUGAACCAUGGAAUCAGUAAGGAAGGCAACAAGCUUGUCAAAGAUAGCAACAACUUGAUAGUUCUUGUAAUUCCAAGAGUGGUUGGGAACUCGACAAAUUGCUAUCUUCCGUAGACGACAGUCACCAUGAUCGUAUUUGAACGUACGUAGAUCAUCUGUGUGCUCAACCUUAGGGCACUCUGAGAUUUUUGGAAGUGGAAUCCGCAGACGAGUGUACACAUUCACAAGUUCCCACUCGCAAUUGUACCCAAUAUAAACAACCCAAUCUCCAUUUGCUCCAGCCCAUGCCUUACCCUGAAGCGAUGGCAUCUUGACAUCACACGUAUCGUUAUCAAGUGGCAUCAAAUUGGACAAGGUGAGGCCUCCGUCGUCCGCGCCCAUGCGAACAGGCUUAUAGCGAAGAAGAUAAGGGAGACCAAACCGCUCCUGGACCCAUGGAUUCCUUGUAACGAUGUUAUUAGUUGAGUCGAGAAUGUUCUUGAACGAACCUGCCAUGCUAGCCAAGGUGAUGACGUCGCACCGAUCAAUGAGUUCCCCCACCACGUCAUCUUUAAGAUCAGGGCAAUAAUAACAUGGUCAUUUCUAGCUUGUUCCCUCCAUGGAGAAGAUGAUCGAACAAUGGCAGAAGGAAGGGUGAAGGCAAAUGGAGGAGGGAGGAAGAGCGUGCGACAACAGUUCCAAAUCGAGAGGGAAAGGCGAAGAGUCGAUGGACGGUUGCCAGUUUGCCAUACCACAAUACACGAAGAGGCGCCCCGGCCUACGUGUCCUUUUGGAAAUUGUACAAAAGGACUCGUUGUCGUCUCACUGACAUGGAACGGGACCACAUGUCAAUGAAACAUGGUGUGUAAUUUCUCGUGCAAAAUGCAAUCUGGCCGCGUUGGCCCGAGGUGCCGCAUUAUUUCUCGACUUUAUUUUUUUAAUGGCGUGCCAUUCAGUUUUGAAGCACAACUAACUGGUAUUGUUUGUAGAGAAAAUAUAAACUACUCUGCCACUACUCCGCCUCUAGUACUAGUAGUAUAAAAAGAUAUAUAGGCUGGAGCUUCAAAGCAUUCUUGCUAAGGGCUGCCCACUUGCUUCUCACACUAUCACCCUCUCUCCAGAUCUAAAAAGACAGCCUCUCUCUCCCUCCUCACCGAUGGUCACAAAUCCGCCGGGGAAGAAAAGGGCGUGCAACGUUGACGCACUCGUCGUCGACAAGCGAGGUCACGCACUGACGACAUGGUCGUCCUCUCAGACCUAGCACCCGCGUGGGAUGGCCUCUGUCCCCAAGCUUGCUGCCGUAGUGCGUGCGGAGGACGACGACUACGAGCGAAGCCACUUCCCGCCGACCCUCAGGUAUGCUACCUCUUUUCGAACCAUACCCUUCUUCUAUUGCCCCAUCUGCCAUGUCCCUGCAGGUGGAUCUUUUUCCACUCCACCAUCUUCCCAAUUUGCUAUCCUCUGCUCUACUAGUCACAUAGACGAAAACCUUAAUUUGCACUAUUAAAGGAAACCCUAUUUCAUGCAGACUAAUCCAUGUCUGGGUUGAAUAAGGAAAGGAAGGGAGACUGUACUAUCCAAGAGAGUAGGCAUCGAACCCGCAUCUAGGUUGAAAAGGGGAAAAUUAGUAGCUAAGGAACGAGUCUCGUGUAUCUUGGUUGAAGAAGGGUAGAAAGGCAUGACAACGCAAUAGAGAAUGACCGGGUCGAUCGGUUUGUUGUCCUCACAUAGGAAAAAGGUGGCUAAACAUAACAAAAAUGGGACGUAAUCCACAUAUGCUGCCUGGAUAUUUGUUGCUCUGGACAACCAUACCUCCCUCACCACUCGAUGCGUCCGUGGAGAUACAUCUUACUGGUGCGCCCACUGUCCGAAUGGGCCUCCCAUGCUCUUAUUGUCACUUUUUUGCUAUUAGUAUAAUGCCACCAGUCAAGUCAAGCAAUGCUACUGCUAAAGUGAUGCCACAUUUAACUAAUGCUGCAUUCAGGGUUAGCUGUUGAUUGUGGAUGUAUUAAAGAUUUUUCACUUAAGGCAUUCUAAUGUUGUUCCACAACCAGUAUACCAACGUUGAAACUUGUUACUACCUUCAGAUUUUUGCACUGUUAAUGCGUAUAGAUUACAUACCUCACUGUCAUGAGAUAAGUUAAUUUUUUGUACAGUGUCACCAAAAUGUCAAGGCGCUGAUGUCAUUUUAUUUUGGUUAAACUGCACAAAAAAUUAUGAAGACAAGAGGAAAGGUCAAGAGUGGGCACCUCCUCCUCCAGCUGUUCUCUUGAUUCGUUCGAUCAAGUUUUUAUGUUUGAUCGAUUAUCAAGAUUGGGAUGGCAAUUUUUAAGGUCCCCCCGAGUUCGAAAUGAUAUUUACCUUGGAGGUACAUGGUUUGCAAAAAAAUUAUACUGUCAUUAGUUAAUAAUGCUAGUUACCUUCACACUUUUGUAUUUGGUUUAAUGAUCAUGCACAUCUAGUAUACCAAUGCUGAAACGUGUUACCUUUACAUUUUGUAUUGUUAAUUCUUAUAGAAAUCUUCCAGUGCCAGAGUUUAUUGAAAUCUGUUCAGUAAAAUCAUUGUACUGUACCCUGUAAUAAAAGAACUACUCUACUGUUGCACUAGCCACUGGAUUACUGUAUAUUUGUAGUAUUCGAAAUUUCUAAUGGUGUUGCAUUAGCGUAUGGACAUAAAUAAAGUGUGGCACGCUUUCCCAUAUAUGUGCUCAAGAAAACUACUACCUGUUUUUCUAAAUACUAGACGUUUAGGUAUUUUAAACUGAACCACGGAAACGUCUUAUAUUAAGGAACAGAGGGUGUAGAGUUCACUCAAAUUAUCCCGGUAAAGCUAGUCACACCUUUGUUAAAAUUAAUGUUCAUUAUGUUAUCGGAGGAGGUCUGUAAGUUUGUCUCUAAUGCCUGUCGACUACAUACCUGACAUCAUGAUGUAAUGUUAAGUCAUUUCCUUUUGUACAGUGUCACUGAAUUGUCAAGGCGGUGAUGGCAUUUUAUUUUAGUUGAACUGCACAAAAUAUGCUUAAAAGAAGAGGAAAGGUCAGGAAUCGAUCAUUCUUUCAGAAAGAACUAUAUAUGCCUUUCUGACAUCAGCCGAUAUUGCCUUAUUUGUUCCUUCAAACAGGUGGUUAGAAACAGUCUUGCUACCUUUUCCCAUUAAGAAAUUGAAAUGCUUAUAUUUGUGAGUCUAUGCUUCAACUAGUGCCACUUUUAUAGUAAUCACACUUUCAAUAUCUAUGCAAACAGGGAUGCUCGAUUUUAGUGGAACUGCACAAAAAGUCCAACUGGUUCAACAUUAGGAGCAUGUUUCCUUCCAAACCUUUAUAUCCCAUUGGUGGCACUAUGAGCUGUUCAUUAAGAAGGUACAUGGUUUCCUACUAUCUUGCUACUCUUUGUGUACUGUCAUUAGAUAGUAAUACUAGUGGUUUGCAUGUGAAUUUAUUGGCAGGGUGGACCUACAUUGGAGGUGCAGGGCAGGAUUCAAUGAUUGGAUGCUCAAUUUCGGUUGUAUCGAUUUCACCUCUUCCAUCACUGCGAACAUGGAUAUCCUUGGUCUGAUGAAGAAUAGGCGCUAUAUUUCUGCUCUGAACAAGCAAAUCAAUUCAGUAUGAAAUUGUCUAGGGCAAAACAUGACUGUAGCAAAUUGUCCAGUGCAAAACAUGACAGAUGCUAAGCGGAAGAGACAUGUUUAAACCGAAAAUACAAGGUGGGGUAUAUGUUUACUAGCUGCUUGAUAUUUGUGCAAGCAGAGAUGCCUGCCCGUUGCUAUUUGGCAAAUACACAAAGUGACCGCAAUUUUGGUUGAACUGCACAAGAGAAUAGUAUAGUCACUGCAUGCACUGCCAUUUGAAAAUAGACACAGAAAGAUUGGAUAGUCACUUCAUGGACUGCAGAAAAGUAGUAUUGUACUAUUUAUUGGCCAACACUAGGUGCUUCAUUGCUUUGGUAUGAUUAUACAAUGGUCAUCAUUUUGCCUAAGUUAAAGUUUUUAUUUCGAAAAUAGUCUCGCCGUGUGAUCGAGAGAAGACCAAAUCAUAUUGCAGUGGAUGUUCCUCCAUCAUGUGUGGUUCAUUCUCAUGGUUCCAGCUGUUGCUGAAACCACUUACGUUUGCAAGACGAAUUGUAGACUUCACAAACAAAUUUGUCUUUCAAUCUGUACUGAAUGUUGGCCAAGAGAAGCAUCCAUGUUAGUAGGAAGAACAUAUGUUUUUUCUAGAUCUUUGCUUUUGGAGCUACAUAUUUGUAUAUGAUCUGUGAAUCAUUGAGAUGCAUUAACAUGUUGAUAUUAUGUAUGGGAAUCGUACUAGUUGGUUUUAGUUGUGGCUGAUCGUUCCUUUUGGAGCUACAUAUUUGUAUAUGAUCUGUGAAUCAUUGAGAUGCAUUAACAGUUCCUUAUAUCUGUUCGCUCCGUGUUUAUAAGUUACUGAUCGAUCACUAGCUAGCCUACUAAUGCGCUCCUGGCAGUUUUAGUUGCGAUGCAAGAUCCGAAGUGGUAGUUUUUUGAAUAAAAAUUCCUACCUCUGAAGGCACUGACAAGCUACUCUGAAGAAAAUGCCAUGCGAAUCUGAAGAAACUGCCAGCAAAAACGUUCGCAAAUGCCUUAUUUCCCAGCUAAAGUUCAUCAACUAAUGCCCUCGUCUGCGACUCGGUGCAUGCUGCUCCGCGUACUGGCUACGAGCGAUUUUGAGUGCCUGCAUGCAGCCGGCCGUAAUUAAGGUAGCUAACUGAUGCGAAAGAAAAUGUGCUUUAAUUGUUGUGGGCCUUUUAAAUCCGUGGAAUCAUUAUUGACAAGGAGGGAGAUGAUUUGAGUGCACUCAUUUGACCGUCAUGCCGGCGUGCGACCCAGCACAGACGGGACGGGACGGCACAGUCAGAAUUUCAGUUUCUCUAGUUUUCCAUGGCAAGCUGGCGCGCUAAGCCAUGCCUACUUAAUUAUGCAUUGAAUUCCAAUGACCAUCGCGCUACCUUCCACCUAUAAGUACUGUUUCCCGGCCUUCUAUGGUGGCACCGUGACCCAACUUGCCCUAUCCUCAUAAGCCCCCACCGGCCCGACGUCGCUCGCCACUUAUUCUCGCUCUCGCCACAUCCGCCAUGCCCCCGCUCGUCCACGAUAGGCGAGGCCGGAGGCGGUCACCGCCGGAACUAGUGUUCGGUUUUUCACCGGAAGGCAGACGGAGGGAGGAGGCAUUCUAUCGGUCUUUAGAUGGCAAUGCGGAGAUCGAGGACUUGUUGGAGCGCGACUGCUUGGCGGAGGAGCAGGAGUUGUUGGAGCGCGAACCGCUUGGCGGAGGAGCAGCGUAUCGCCGAUUUGUGCCGCCAGCGGGACAUGGAGCAGCAGCGCACCGACGCUCUGAGUUGCGAGCAAAGCGCCCGCAACUGGGCCGGCUACAUGGAGGCAUGCGCCCGACAAAUAUCCCUGGAGGCUGUCGGGCACACAUGCGUUCAUGACGCCGAUUUUACUACCAGCUCGUCAAGUGGGUUUCCCGCUUAGAGGCCGAAGCUUCGGUGGACCACACCAGCAUGGAAAGGGCCAACGUGCGCGAGCAACGCGCCCUAUCGCACCUCUGGGAGGUCCGAGGUGAGGCGAAGGACGCCGGUACCGGCGUUUAGCGUGUACCGUAGAUGGCGGCUGGCGUCGUCUAGUUAGCUAAGAGUACGUUAGUACUUGUACGCUACUAGAGUAUUAGUGGGAGUGGAUGAAAUGGGUUGUACAUUUUUAAAACACAUCAAACCGGCAAUUAGUUUCAAAUUUCUUUUUUUCAUUUCGAGAUCUUAAAUUGCAUUAAUUUUUAUGCGUGGACAAUUUGUUGGAUUUUAUAUUGAUAUACAUUUUUAAAUCAGUUUGAAUGUGACUCGAAAUUUCGGGAUUAAAAACAGUUCGGACCACACCGAAAUAUGCAAAAUUUCGUAUAAUUUUUUAACCAUGGCCACAAUAUGGGUUGUAAUGCUAACAAAAAGAAUAUAGGCUCCAAAAAAACCUUAAGAAUUAGCAAAUGGGCUGUAAAAUAUUAGAAAUAAUGGCAGAUGGGCUGUAUGUUGUUUUCCACAGAUUUGAAGUUUUCCUAAAAAAAGAUUGGCGCACAAAAAGUGACUGUUGGAUGUCCAUCCAACGGCCGUCGUGCUUCUUCAAUCUCUGCUCUUCCUGCGACAGCCACUCAAACAAGCGCCGGCGGGACUGCCUGCUCCUCCUCCCCGCGGCCGGCUGUGCUGCGGCGCAGGCCUCACCGCCCCACCUUACUCCCAUCGCUGACCUAGCCAUCCCUCUACUCACCCACACCUGCAGUUAUUCUUCGGCGACUACAGACGAACCAGUAAACCCUCAUAAAGUCAUACUCCCCUCCGCGUGGGAAACAACUGUUGAGUCUUCCCUACCUCCAUGUCAUUCCCUUCCUAGGCCUCGCCAUCGUCCACCGCCCUGGUGCUCUCGGCGCGGCCUGGUCAAUGUGGUCAACGACCGACAUGCAUCUGAAGUGGACUGUACGUGGAGAGGCUGACAGCUGGGUCCAUGGCCGCAUGCAAGGAAAUGCCUCCUUAUUACGCGCAAAAUAAUGAUUCUGCCACCUGACAUCUGGGACCCACCGAAAGGGCCUCUGUAUUUCGCGAGAAAACGUAACUGCCGCUGACAGCUUGGACCCACCAGCUAUAUCUUCGCACGCAAGGAAGUACGUCCUUAUUACGCACACAAAAAUGAAUACUCCCCCUGCUAGCUGGGACCCAGUAUAAUGGCAGGCUGACUUGUGGGCCUACUAAGUUGACGGGGACGAAGGGCUUUGUCAACGUAGUCAAUAUGUAUGAUUCUAGCUCCAGUGACCAUACGAUGUCCAUCCAACGGCUGUAGUGCUUCUUCAACCUCUGGUCUUCUUGCUCCAGCCGCCCAAACCAGCGCCGGUCAUGCCUCGUGCUCCUGUCUCCCGUGGCCGGCUGUGAUGCGGCAGAGGCCUCACCGCCCCUACUACUCCCACCGCUGGCCAGGCCAUCCCUCUACUCACCCACACCCCCUGUUAUUCUGCGGCGACGGCAGCCUCACACCGCAGCGAACCAGUGAACCCUCAUACUCCUCUACGCGUGGGCAUCCACUGCCGCGUCUUCCCCGGCUCCGCGUCGUCCCCUUCCUAGGCCUCAUCGUCGUCCAUCGCCCUGGCGCUCUCGGUGCGGCGUGGUCAACAUGGUCAAGGAACAACUUCCAUCGGAAGAGUACUGUACGUGGAGAGGCUGACAGCUGGGUCCACGGCAGCUGCAAGGAAGUGCCACCUUAUUACGUGAAAAAUAAUUAUUCCUCCACCUGACAGCAGGGACCCACCGGAUGGGCCACCGUAUUUGGAGAAAAAAACAUUUCCCCCUGACUGCUGGGACCCAACGGACGGGCCACCGUAUUUCGUGAAAAAGAAGGUCCUCCCGCUGUCAGCUCGGACCCACCGGAAGUGUCGCCUUAUUACGCACAAAAAAUGAAUACCCCCUGCUAGUUGGGACCCACCUUGGUGGGUGGCUGACUUGUGGGCCUACUAAGUUGACGGGGAUGGGGUGCUUUGUCAACUUAGUCAAUAUGAACUAUUCUAGCUCCAGUGACCGUACGAUGUCCAUCCAACGGCCGUAGUGCUUCUUCAACCUCUAGUCUUCUUGCUCCAGCCGCCCAAAGCAGCGCCGAUCGUGCUGCAUGCUCCUGCCUCCCGUGGACGGCUGUGCUGCCGCGGAGGCCUCACCGCCCCUACUAUUCCCACCGCUGGCUAGGCCCUGCGGCGACGGCAGCCUCACACCGCAGCCAAACCAGUGAACCCUCAUACUCCUCUCCGCGCGGGCUUCCACUGCCGCGUCUUCCCCGGCUCCGCGUCGUCCCCUUCCUAGGCCUCGCUGUCGUCCACCGCCCUGGUGCUCUCGGUGCGGCGUGGUCAAGGAACGACUUCCAUCGGAAGAGUACUGUACGUGGAGAGGCUGACAGCUGGGUCCAUGGUCGCAGCAAGGAAGUGCCUCCUAAUUACGCGCAAAAUAAUAAUUCCUCCACCUGAUAGCGGGGACCCACCGGACGGGCCACCGUAUUUCGCGAAAAAAUGUUUCCCCUGACUGCUGGGACCCACUAGCUACAUCUUCGCACGCAAGGAAGUGCGUCCGGGCAAAAAAAUGAUUCGCCCCCCUGACAGCUGGGACCCACCAGCUACAUCUUCGCACGCAAGGAAGUGCCUGACAGUCGGGACCCACCUGGUCGAAGCGUACGUAGCGUUCUCAUUCUGGUCGUGAACGUGUACGUACAUACUAGUCGAUGUAGAGGCGCGCACGUGUCGUAGUAGAGGCGCGCACGUAGCAUGUACACAUACAUACAGCGGCCAGGGUGCAACAAAGUAAAUACGACCACGUACGUACAUAUGGGCGGGGUCUCGAACGCCUACUCGCGCAUACGUACGGCCAGGGCUCGUGUACAUGGCUGGGUCGGAACGGAGAAACUGCGUCGUCAUCGUGUUCAUGGGGAGGCAACAGCAUGUGUCGUGUUCAUCGGGAGGCAACGGAACGCGUGGGAGCCAAUCGGCUUGGACGGAACAGCCGAUGGAAACGAGGCCUGGCGUACCGCAGAUCAGAGGAAACGGCCUUGUGUUCGACCGGCCACGUUCGAAACAGGAUCCUGUUCAUCGGGAGGGGUCUGGCGUACCACAAAACGGAGGAAACGGACCUUCUACGGUCGAAACGAGGGUCCUGUUGAUCGGGAGGGGUGUGGCGUACCGCAAAACGGAGGAAACGAACUUGUGUUGGAGCGCUACGGUCGAAACGGGGGUCUUGUUCAUUGGGAGGGGUGUGGCGUACCGCAAAACAGGACUCCACGGGAUACUAUUCAUCUCCACCGUCGACCCCCUCCAGCCUCCACGGGCUAUUGUUCAUCCACCGUCGAUCUCCUCCAACCUCCACCUGUGACUGUUCAUCCACGGGCUCCUGUUCAUCCAGCCUCCACCGCGCGCUACUCCACCGGCUACUGUUCAACCAGCCCUCUCCACGGGCUCAUGUUCAACCACCCCUCCAUGGGCUACUGUUCAUCCAGCCCUCCACCAUCUACUAUUCAUCCUGCCUUCCACGGGGUGGUCCUGUUCAUCCAGCCCUCCAUGGGGUCCUGUUCAUCCAGCCCCAACCGACUCGAUCGAUCGGGGUCCUGUUCAUCCAGAGGCAACACCACGGGGUCCUGUUCAUCCACCCCCACCGGGAACUGUUCAUCCAAACCCCCCCUCACAACACUCACUGUUCAUCCAGAGGCAGCAUCGAUCGGCUUCAGUUAGCAGCAGUAGCGAAGGAAUCGCUCGAUCGGGUUCAGUUAACAGCCAUCGAUCGAUCGCUCGGAUUCAGUAACUCGUACAGUGCAGUGCAAUCGCUCGGGUUCAGUUAGAGCCCAACGCCUCGCUUGGGCUCAGUUAGAGCCCAACGCCUUGCACCCAUGCGCGUGUGUGUACGAGAGAAAUGCGCAUCGCUCGGCCCUGACAACGCGCCGUAACCGGGAACACCCCGAUAUUUUCCUCGCCCUCGCUUCUACCACAGUUUUUUCCAUCAUGGACGGCUCAAAGAAUGUCAUGCAGCUGCGUCUCCGGCCCACCCAGGAUGAAAAGCCCAUUUUCUGUCAUGAUUUUUUGUCAUAGAAGUAGGACCCCACCACAUCUAUGAUGAUACCGGGUUUUGUCACAAUUAUCAUCAUAGAAGUGUCAUAAGUAUGACAGAAAAAAAUGGUUCGGCCCAAAAUGUCACGGAUGUGUCUUUUUUGUAGUGGUCCUACCUAACAUAUUUCUGGAAAGGCUUUUCAAUCCAUCCGUGGUGUGGAAAGGGGAGAGCGGCAAAACCAGUCCGGAUCCGACCAUAACCCCAGAUUCCAAACACACUGAUAUAAUCGGAGGAUCAGCCACCGAAAUAACACUGUCGCCCAUAUUAUCAUGGCAGUCAUUGCCUCAUGGACCGAAUGCUUCUUGGCCUACCUUAACAGGCGAGAGCUCCCUGAGGAUCAGAAUGAGGCUCGUUGCAUUGUUCGGCGUUCGAAAGCCUACAAGGUCCACGAAGGAGAGGUCUACAAGAAAAGAACCACCGGAGUACUCCAAAGAUGUAUCUCCGAAGAAGAGGGGCGACAACUCUUGGCUGAAAUUCAUGCCAGUCUCGCUGGUCACCACGCCGCUGCUCGGGCCCUUGUAAGCAAGGCCUUCCGUAUAGGUUUCUAUUGGCCGACGGCCCGAGCAGAUGCACAGGACCUUGUCCAACAUUGCGUCAGAUGCCAGCGUUUUGCCAACCAAAGCCAUAUGCCGCCCACCGCUCUACAAACAAUCCUUUUGCGGUCUGGGGGCUGGAUAUGGUCAGACCCCUUAAAGGAGGCAUACAUAAGAAAAAAAUAUUUGCUGGUUAUGGUAGAUAAGUUCACUAAGUGGAUAGAGGCCAAACCAGUCAAAACGGCCGAAGCUGGACCUGUGAUAGACUUUAUAUCCGGUGUCGUGCACCAUUAUGGUAUCCCACACAGUAUCAUCAUCGACAACGGCUCCAAUUUUACAGCCGAUGAGGUGAAAGCCUGGAGCGCUAAUCUAGGCAUUAAGCUCGAUUACGCCUACGUUUAUCAUCCACAAACAAACAGUCAAGUCAAACGUGCUAAUGGUCUUAUUAUGAGCGGCAUCAAACCCAGACUAGUGCGAUCUUUAAAAGAAUCAAACAAGCACUGGGUUGAGGAGCUAGACUCCGUACUCUGGGGCUGCGGACCACACCCAAUUGUACUAGUGGAUAUACACCUUUUUUCAUGGUGUACUACGUAGAGGCUGUGCUACCCUACGACAUUAUUCAUGACUCACCUCGAGUGCGCAUGUACGAAGAGAGAGAGGCCGAGCUUGAUCGGCAGGACAACUUAGAUGCUUUGGAGGAGGAGUGAGAUGUUGCAAAAGCCCGUUCCGCAUUUUAUCAACAGCAAGCCCAGAUAUCAAAGCAGAGAAGUGCGGGCCAAGACUUAUAAUGUUGGCAAACUCGUUCUACGCUUGCCGGAGAAGAAAAAAAUACAAACUCAAGCCCAAGUGGGAGGGUCCCUUCAUCAUUGACGAAGUUCUCACUGGAGGAGCGUACCGCCUGCGUGAUGCAUCAGACAAUCGCCUAGAGCCAAACCCCUGGAACGCGGCCAGACUCCCAAGAUUCUAUGCCUAGCGCCGAACUCUUCGUUCGUCUCCUUCUCCCUAUUUUCUCCAUUAUUUCUUCUCCUCUCUUUUCGCUUUUUCUUUUUUUAGUCUUAAAGCUUUCGUACGACCAAAACAUGCACAUAUGACGUACACAUCUUCAAAUGUAAAUGUCCAUUAUACCUGGGGGCUUCUUGCACAGAAGCUUAUUAUUGUUAUUUUUUGAGCAUCAAGCUCAUCACAUAUGCGUUUUCUCCUCAUAUGUACCUUUUUUCGCCAUUAUAUGCAUCGAUAUGACUUAAGUUUUGGCAAAGGUAGGUUGCCUGGCUCCUAUGCUUAUGCCCUACAUUCCCGUUAGUUCGGCUAGGGCAUAAAGGGAGCACCUCUGCGAUUGCUACUGUCGGGUCAUUCGGAUGUGUACCUCAGACUGGGUGAAGCCGAAAGCUAGCAUUCUUAAGGGAAUAUUCAGUCGGCGGUCUAAAGAUGUUUUUAUAUUUCUCCCACUAUGAACCCCCAGAUGUCACGUAUACUGCGAUCUUUUCAAUCACAGUUCGGACAUGCAUAUCAACGCGUGUCCACCCAGGGAAAGGAACCCUUAACAGAACUAUUCUCUCUAGAAGAUGUUUCUUACAAUCACAAUGUAAUAUAACAUAGCUAGCUGGAUACAACUUGUUUGUUCAAGCAACUAUGACCCCUACGCCUGGUUUCCACACAUACCCCGGUCUAUUUCGCCGCUCAGGUAUUCAGAAACACUCCGGACCUUUGGUUCCAGAGGUCGAAGCGAAAAGGUCGGCUAUGACAAAAGUUUUACAAUUCGGCUAGGGACAAAUAUGUCAAGGAAAGUAAAUAGUCACUUGGACUCAAAAAUUUCCUCCUCUAUACCGUCUAACAGGCUGUCUAGCUUACAAUUCUGUUGGGAAUAUUGGGCGGCAACUUCUACUUGGUCAUAUACCAAAUUAACGGGAAUUUCUUUCCCAUCUGACCCUAGAGGUCUGACCCGAGCCAUAUGAUUCGGGUCAAGCUUGGUAUACCGUGUUUUUACCAUGGCCCAGGCCUCUCUCGCACCUUCCCGGUAGGCAGAUACCUUCCAUAAUUGAAUACGCCGCCGUGCCCCUUUGAACAGCUCCGCAAGCUCCACCAUACCUCCUGGAGGAGAGGCGGAUGGCCAUAAAGCCUUGGCAACACUCUGCAUUGCUUGCCGAACUCGCUCGUGCAUCUGGGAUAGCUCUUGUAGUAGGUCGCCCUGAGAUCCGAACAUUUCCUCUUCGGGACGGCCAGUCAGCAUACCUGCAGACAUAAAUCUGUCAGUUUUGACCCUCGCCGAACUAUAGGGAGGCAAGUUUGAAAAGCAUACUGAAUAUGCCACCUUGUAGCCUCCUAUUCUCCUUGGCUACGUCAGCUAGCUGGGCUCGAACAUCUUUCAGUUCUUCGCCCAACUGGGUAUGGGAAUCCUGCAGCUUGUUCUUUUCAUCCCUGACCCGCGUCAGCACGCAUUCGCCUGCCGCAUAUUGCCUUUUGGCCUCUUGUUCACCAGCCUGGGCUUCCUUCAAUUUCCCUCUCAGUUGCUCUACUGAUUCUGUCAGCAGAAACACAACAACAUUAACACAGCUGGUAUAUGAUUAUACUUUUUCUGACAGGGAGAAGCAUUACCAGGAGGUGCCUCCUUGGACUUUUCCAAUUCAGCGGUAGCCGCAGUCAGCUGAGUCUGACACUUUGCCAGCUCUUGAGACAUCAGGCUAGUCUUCUCCAUAAGUGCCUAAUUAUACAAUGAUCCUUAAAUCAGUUGUAUCAACUGCUUUAAGUCUCUGGAGCUACUGGUAUACGAUUAUUAAAUCUACACUUACCCGCAUAUCUUUUAGAUGCUGGUCCAUGGCUCUGGCCAGUCCAUCCUGAGCAGCUCGGAUGUACGCAUCGGCCGAUCCGAAGGCAUCAAAUGCCUCCUUUGAAAAGUCGGGGUCACGGAGAGCGGCCCUCCGACGACGAUGAUUCAUGGCGCUCUCCACUUCAGAGUUCGUGACGAACAUAUCGUCUGAAUCCUCUGCGGAAGGACAGUCUUGCACCACUCCCGUGUCAGCCCUCGUCCUUAGGGCAGGGUUUGGAACCUGACUAGUGGAGGCACGACCGGCAGGAUUCUGGGACAUAGUCAGGCGGACACUUUUCCUGAUAGAAUGCGGCGUAUGACAUCAUGAUUUGAUGUGGCGACCAGGAGGCGUAUUUUUAAAAGAAAGCCUUACCUCUUUGAUGAAGGUUCUGCCGUAUUAUGGUUUUCCUUUCUCUUUGAAGACGUUCUUGGCGUGGGAGCCGCUCUCCUCGGAGAUUCCUCUGGUGUGCAUUGCGGCGUCGAGCGCCUCCCCUUCGGAGCAUGAAAUAGUGCGGUGGGUGAGGCAUAAUAAAGAAGCUCUUUCGAAGAAGGUGUUUGUUAAAAUUACUUACAUGCGAAGCAGGGAGGAGGCCGGGAUAAUCGACAAUGAUGGGCACUUCCGUACCAUCGUAGCUCGUCUGGUAGAACACUCCAUUUUCAAGCUCCACAAAUAUGUCCGAAUCCUCUUCGAAUCCGGGGUCAAGGUACCGGUUGUGACCCUCCGGCUAGGGGGCAGGGCUAUGGAUCCCCUCGGUGGCCUUCCACCAUUCCUGUUGCGUGUGGAUAGGUAGCUAUCCAUUAGAAAUGAUUCAGGGAGAGGAUUGAGUAAAAUGAUGGAAUUAGAACUUACCCAGCUAGGAGGAUUAUACAUGGAAAAUCCAUCUCGACAUUGGAGAUAGGUGAACUCCUCCUUCUCCCCUUUGUACAGUCCGGCCACUAUUUUGGCCAAAGCAGCAGGGGUUUUCGGGCCCUUCCGGCCGCAGCGUGAGGCGUCAUCUUCCCUAUUAUAGUGCCACAUGGGAAGCCCUUUGUAUUGGAGUGGUUGGACCCCCCGCACUAUGGAGAUCGCCAUUACCUCGAUUAUUGAUAAUCUGGAUUGGGCGAGCGUCUUAAUCUUGCCCAUCAACUGACUGACUUCUGCGCUAUCCUCCACCUCGAGGCUCCGAGGGCGCCAGCUGUGGCGUUUUUUCAACAGAGCACUUGAAAAUUCAGGGAGACCCAUUGAGACUGGGUCAGGAAGAGCGACAUCGUCAAUAUAGAAACAUUUGGAAGGACACUCUUCAGAAGCCUUCUUCGGCGUGCCAGACGAGUAUCCGGUCCCGACGAUGUGCCAUACCUCGGCUCCUCCCACUUCGAAUAUUGAUCCCCCUUGGUUACGAGGGACGAGGCAGAACAGUUUUCUCCAUAAUUCAAAAUGGGCCUCACAGCCCAGGAAUAACUCACACAGAGCAACGUAGCCCGUGAUGUGAAGGAUGGAUGCGGAGUGAAACUGUGCAGUUGGAGGCCAUAAUACUCCAGAAGUCCUCGGAGGAAGGGAUGGAUUGGAAAUCCAACGUCCCCUUAGCAAGUAGGGAAUGAAGCAUACUCGUUCCCCUGGACGGAUUGGGGAAAUUCUCCACAUGAACCCCGCCGUUGAAGGAAGUUAAUCCUGCUCGGACAGGGACUAGAUCCGCGGGGGGAAGAAAGACCUGUUUUUGCAGCUUCGUUAGCUGGCCAUGAGAUACGGAACAUCUAUCGCAAUCACCUUUUUCGGAGCCGUGGGGACGAGAGGAAGAGCUGGGAGCACUAGCCAUGUUGGAGUGGUUCCUCCUAGCAAACUCUGAGGAUUUUUUCACAGGGUGUGGAAUGGAUCUGAGAUCUAUUCUCUUUAAAUAGGCACCUCUCUUGUAUGGUCAGGGUGGUAUGUGCAAAAAUACCCCGACCUCUCAUGUUUGCUCGACACAUGGAAGCUGAAGCCAGGAAGGCGUGGAAGCCGAUGGGCACGACAUUAAAUGUAAAAGCCGAAUACUGCUCUUUAAGUCAGGGACUUUGAAGUAAUCGGAGAAGGAACCCGCCUUGCAAUGCCGAAGACAAUCUGUGCGCCGGACACCUCGUCAUUGAAGCCUGGUUCAGGGGCUACUGAGGGAGUCCUGGACUAAGGGGUCCUUGGGCAUCCGGCUUGUUGGACAUGGGCUGGACUAUUGGGCCAUGAAAAUACAAUAUAGAAGACUUUCUCCCAUGUCCGAAUAGGACUCUCCUUUGCGUGGAUGGCAAGCUAGGCGGCCGGAUGUACUAUUUCCUUUCUAUGUAACCGACUUUGUACAACCCUAGUCCCCUCUGGUGUCUAUAUAAACCGGAGGGUUUAGUUCAUAGGGACAAUCAUAAACACGUAGGCUAGACUUCUAGGGUUUUAGCCAUUACGAUCUCGUGGUAGAUCAACUCUUGUAGCCCCUAUACUCAUCAAUAUUAAUCAAGCCGGGCAUAGGGUUUUACCUCCCUCAAGAGGGCCCGAACCUGGGUAAACAUCGUAUCCCCUGUCUCCUAUUACCAUCAACCUCAGACGCACAGUUUGGGACCCCCUACCCGAGAUCCGCCGGUUUUGACACCGACAGUNNNNNNNNNNNNNNNNNNNNNNNNNNNNNNNNNNNNNNNNNNNNNNNNNNNNNNNNNNNNNNNNNNNNNNNNNNNNNNNNNNNNNNNNNNNNNNNNNNNNNNNNNNNNNNNNNNNNNNNNNNNNNNNNNNNNNNNNNNNNNNNNNNNNNNNNNNNNNNNNNNNNNNNNNNNNNNNNNNNNNNNNNGAUACUAUCUGGAACACUUCUGGUGUCCGAAUACUAUCAUCCUAUAUAUCGAUCUUUACCUCUCGACCAUUUCAAGACUCAUCGUCAUGUCCGUGAUCUCGUCUAGGAUUUUGAACAAUAUACGGUCACCAAAUCACAUAACUCAUAUAAUACUAAAUCGUUAUUGAACGUUAAGCGUGCGGACCCUACGGGUUCGAGAACUAUGUAGACAUGACCGAGACACCUCUCCGGUCAAUAACCAAUAGUGGAAUCUAGAUGCUCAUAUUGGCUCCUACAUAUUCUAUGAAGAUCUUUAUCGGUCGAACCGUUAUGACAACAUACGUUAUUCCCUUUGUCAUCGGUAUGUUACUUGCCCAGGAUUCAAUCGUCGGUAUCUACAUAACGAGCUCAAUCUCGUUACCGGCAAGUCUAUUUACUCGUUCCGUAAUACAUCAUCUUGUAACUCACUCAUUAGUCACUUUGCUUGCAAGGCUUCUGAUGAUGUGCAUUACCGAGAGGGCCCACAGAUAACUCUCCGAUACUCAGAGUGACGAAUCCUAAUCUUGAUCUAUGCCAACCCAACAGACACCUUCGGAGAUACUUGUAGAGCAUCUUUAUAAUCACCCAGUUACGUUGUGAUGUUUGAUAGCACACAAGGCAUUCCUCCGGUAUCCGGGAGUUGCAUAAUCUCAUAGUCAAAGUAAUAUGUAUUUGACAUUAAGAAAGCAAUACCAAUAAAACUGAACGAUCAAUAUGCUAAGGUAACGGAUGGGUCAUGUCCAUCACAUCAUUCUCCUAAUGAUGUGAUCCCAUUAUCAAAUGACAACUCAUGUCCAUGGUUAGGAAACCUUAACCAUCUUUGAUCAACGAGCUAGUCAAGUAGAGGGUCACUAGGGACACAAUGCUUGUCUAUGUAUUCACACAUGUAUUAAGGUUUCCGAUCAAUACAAUUUUAGCAUGAAUAAUAAAGAUUUAUCAUGAAUAAGGUAAUAUAAAUAACAACUUUUUUAUUGCCUCUAGGGCAUAUUUCCUUCAGUAACCGCAUUGCAACUCUAAAGACCGAUACGGGGUGUACUUUCGACGACCAUGCUGGCAAAGAAUCCAUCUUACUAGAGGCAUUCAGACAACGCUUGGGCACAUGCACUACUCCAAUCAUGAAAUUUAAUCUGUCGGUCCUGCUCAGAUCAAAUGUGGAUUUUGACAGUCUAACCACACCCUUCUCUCAUGAAGAGAUUGAUGUGGUACUUAAUGAGAUGCCCCCAGGCAGAGCCCCAGGCCUAGAUGGCUUUAAUGGGGCUUUUCUGAAAGCUUGCUGGCUAAUCAUCAAAUAUGACUUUUACAAGCUAUGUGAGGAUUUUCAUAAAGGUGAGCUCAACCUGGAGUGUUUAAACUAUGGGUACAUAACACUCAUACCUAAGAACAAUGUUCAGGAAAUGGUCAACGAUUUUCGUCCGAUCACACUCCUCAACGGUUGCCUUAAAAUGAUCACCAAACUCCUGGCCAACCGCCUCCAGAAAAUCAUUCUCCAAACUGUACACCAUAACCAGUUUGGAUUUCUUCGUGGGAGAUCGAUACACGAUUGUUUGGCGUGGGCAUUUGAAUUCAUACACCAAUGUCAGACAUCACAGAAAGAGAUGGUUAUACUUAAACUUGAUUUCUCCAAGGCUUUCGACACUGUGCAACACUCUGCCAUUCUGCAAAUUAUGAAGAACAUGGGCUUCAACGACAAAUGGAUCCAAUGGAUUGAAUGUAUAUUCUCUCCGGGCAAAUCAUCCGUCCUCCUAAAUGGAAUCCCAGGGAAGACAUCACAUGGCAAGUGUGGUGUCAGAAAGGGAGACCCGUUAUCUCCCCUGAUCUUUGUUCUUGCCGCAGAUCAUCUCCAGUCUACUAUCAAUGAGGCUCUACGCAGCAAUUUGCCCGAAUACCCCCUUCGCCCCUCUACCAACGAUGAUUAUCCAGUCAUUCAAUACGCGGACGAUACUAUCAUAAUCAUGCCAGCAUGCCUUAUCCAAGCAAACAAGAUCAAAGAAAUAUUGGCUGACUAUGCCGAGUCUAUUGGGCUCAUGAUCAAUUUUCGGAAGUCUACGCUGGUCCCGAUCAACACCCCAACUGAUAAAUGCAAUACUAUUGCCGCCUUGUUUGAUUGUUCGGUAGCCACCAUGCCGUUCACUUAUCUAGGGCUCCCCCUGGGUACCACGAGGCCAUCUGUUCAAGAUAUGACUCCGUUAGUCUGCAAAGCUGAGAGGAAUAACACUACGGCUAUGUCCCUGAUGUCGUAUGCUGGCACACUAUACCUCAUGAACUCCUUGAUCACAUCGCUUGCUAUGUUCUCCAUGGGCACUAUUAAACUACCCCCAAAGAUUAUUGCCCAACUGGAUAAAAUCUAGAGAUAUUAUCUCUGGAGGAAAGAGACAGAUGACGGUACAAAGUGCAACUCACUUGCAGCUUGGGACAUGGUAUGCAGACCCAAGAAGAUCGGGGGCUUGGGGAUUAUCAACUUACGUGUUCAAAAUGAUGCAUUGCUGCUCAAAUUCCUUCAUAAGUUUUACAACAAAUAUUAUGUUCCUUGGGUCAUGCUGAUCUGGGGGUCUUACUAUGCCAACUCGGUCUCGCACGUAAGGACCCAUGUGGAUCAGUUUGGUGGAAGGUCCGAUUCAACUUAUGCCUAUCUAAUGUGGAGUGACCAAGGUUGAAAUUGGCAAUGGAUCUUCGAGCCUCUUUUGGAAGCAUAAUUGGAACCAAACAAUCUAUAUGAAGGAAAUAUGCCCUAGAGGCAAUAAUAAAGUUGUUAUUUAUAUUUCCUUAUAUCAUGAUAAAUGUUUAUUAUUCAUGCUAGAAUUGUAUUAACCGGAAACUUAGUGCAUGUGUGAAUACAUAGACAAACAGAGUGUCCCUAGUAUGCCUCUACUUGACUAGCUCGUUAAUCAAAGAUGGUUAAGUUUCGAAACCAUAGACAUGUGUUGUCAUUUGAUGAACGGGAUCACAUCAUUAGAGAAUGAUGUGAUGGACUAGACCCAUCCGUUAGCUUAGCACUACGAUUGUUUAGUUUAUUGCUAUUGCUUUCUUCAUGACUUAUACAUGUUCAUAUGACUAUGAGAUUAUGCAACUCCCGAAUAUCGGAGGAACACUUAGUGUGCUAUCAAACGUCACAACGUAACUGGGUGAUUAUAAAGAUGCUCUACAGGUGUCUCCAAUGGUGUUUGUUGAGUUGGCAUAGAUCGAGAUUAGGAUUUGUCACUCCGAUUGUCGGAGAGGUAUCUCUGGGCCCUCUCGGUAAUGCACAUCACUAUAAGCCUUGCAAGCAAUGUGAAUAAUGAGUUAGUUAUAGGAUGAUGCAUUACGAAACAAGUAAAGAGACUUGCCGGUGACGAGAUUGAACUAGGUAUGGUGAUACCGACGAUCAAAUCUCGGGCAAGUAACAUACCAAUGACAAAGGGAACAAUGUAUGUUGUUAUGCGGUUUGACUAAUAAAGAUCUUCAUAGAAUAUGUAGGAGCCAAUAUGAACAUCCAGGUUCCGCUAUUGGUUAUUUACCGGAUAUGUGUCUCAGUCAUGUCUACAUAGUUCUCGAACCCAUAGGGUCUGCACGCUUAAUGUUCGAUGAGGAUUUGUAUUAUGAGUUAUGUGAUUUGAUGACCGAAGUUUGUUCGAAGUCUUGGAUGAGAUCACAGACAUGACAAGAAGUCUCGAAAUGGUCGAGAGGUAAAGAUUCAUAUAUUGGAAGGCUAUAUUCAGACAUCGGAAAUGUUUCGAGUGAUUCGGGUAUUUUUCGGAGAACUGGGGAGUUACGGGAAUUCACCCGGGGAAGUAUUGGGCCUUAUUGGGCUUUAGUGGAAAGGAGAUAAGGGCCACAAGGGGAGGCAGCGCGCCCCCCAUGGGCUGGUCCGAAUUGGACUAGGAGGGGGCGGCGCCCCCUCUUUCCUUCUCCCUCUGCUUCCUUCUUGUCCUACUUGGACUAGGAAAGGGGGGAACCUACUCCUACUAGGAGUAGGAAUCCCCCCCUUGGGCGCGCCCCUUGAGCCCGGCCCUUCGCCUCCUCCCCUCCUUCAUAUACGAGGGAGGGGGCACCCCAUUGACACACAAGUUGAUCUUUAGCCGUGUGCGGUGCCCCCCUCCACUGUUUUCCACCUCGGUCAUAUUGUCGUAGUGCUUAGGCGAAGCCCUGCGUCGGUAACUUCAUCAUCACCGUCAACAUGCCGUCGUGCUGAUGCAACUCACCCUCGGCCUCAACUGGAUCAAGAGUACGAGGGACGUCACCGAGCUGAACGUGUGCAGAUCGCGGAGGUGUCGUGCGUUCGGUACUUGAUCGAUUGGAUCGCGAAGACGUUCGAGUACAUCAACCGCGUUACUUAACGCUUCCGCUUUUGGUCUACGAGGGUACGUAUACACACUCUCCCCUCUCGUUGCUAUGCAUCUCCUAGAUAGAUCUUCCGUGAUCGUAGGAAUUUUUUUGAAAGACUGCGUUCCCCAACACUAUGCGGACACCUAUCCUAGGGAUUGCUCUUACACGCUGAUCGAAGAUGCCUCGGUUAAGGACUUCAUGGCUACCACCAACAUGCAAACGGCCUUUCACCUCCCCCUCUCAAUGCAAGCUCGUGAGGAAGUGAGAGAAAUCCAAAAGGGAGUAACUAACACGGUUCCUUGUCAACGACAUGAUACCUGGACAUGUAUUUGGGGGGGGAGAAGUUUGUAACCGCAUCCUAUUACAAAUUCUACUUCAAAGAAGUGAUUGCCCAUGAAGCAUUCGGUUGGUUAUGGAAAGCCAAGUGCACACCCAAGAUCAAAGUCUUUGGAUGGUUCCUGCUGACCGUCUUAACACAAGAAACAUGCUCAAAUGACGACACUACAAUAUUGCCGGGAAUGUUGGCAAUCCCUCGGUAUUCACUGGUCCACUCAUGAUCAUAGGCUCGAGCUUAUUAAAUAGCAGAAACAUCUCCACCCCCGCAAGAUGUGGAUGGAUAUAUUCCUAGUGGCUGCUUGGAGCCUUUGGAAAAAGCGCAACAACAACCAUUUCAGACAAGUGAAGCCCACUUUUGCAUCCUGGAAACAAAGAUUUAAGUCUGAUUUUUGUAACCUCAGACAUAGAGUUCAACCAUCCAAAGUGCAGUUUAUUACUGCCUUCACUACAAAAAAAGACACAUCCGUGACAUUUUGGGCCGAACGAAAUUUUUUUCUGUCAUACAUAUGACAAUAAUUGUGACAAAACCCGGUAUCAUCAUAGAUGUGGUGGGCUCCUACUUCUAUGACAAAAAAUCAUGACAGAAAAUGGGCUUUUCGUCCUGGGCGGGUCGGAGACGCAACUGCAUGUCAUUCUUUGGGCCAUCCAUGACGGAAAAAAACGUGGUAGAAGAGAGGGCGAGGAAACUUUCGGGGAGUUCCCGGUUACGGUGGGAGGUCGGGGGCCAAGCGACGCGCGUUUCUCUCGUACACGUACACGCGUGUGUGCGAGGCGUUGGCUCUAACUGAACCCGAGCGAGGCAUUGGGCUCUAACUGAAUCCGAGCGAUUGCACUGCAGGCUACGCGUGGCUGUUAACUGAACCCGAUCGAGCGAUUCCUUCGCUACUGCUGCUAACUGAAGCCGAUCGAUGCUGCCUCUGGGAUGAACAGUGAGUGUUGCGGGGGGGUUGGAUGAACAUUGAGCGGUGGCGUUGCCUCUGGAUGAACAGGACCCCAUGGUGUGGUGGAGGGCUGGAUGAACAGUAAAUGGUGGAGGGGCGCCCGUGGAGGGAUGGUUGAACAGGACCCCGUGGUGUGGAGGGCUGGAUGAACAGUAGACGGUGGAGGGGUGCCCGUGGAGGGGUGGUUGAACAGUAGCCGGUGGAGUAGCGCGCGGUGGAGGCUGGAUGAACAGGAGCCCGUGGAGGCUGGAGGAGGUCAAUGGUAGCCCGUGGAGGCUGCAGGAGGUCGACGGUGGAGAUGAACAGUAUCCCGUGGAGUCCCGUUUUGCGGUACGCCACACCCCUCCCGAUGAACAGGACCCCCGUUUCGACCGUAGCGCUCCAACACAAGUCCGUUUCGUCUAUUUUGCGGUACGCCACACCCCUCCCGAUGAACAGGAUCCCCGUUUCGACCGUAGGAGGUCUAUUUCGUCCGUUUUGUGGUAUGCCACACCCCUCCCGAUCAACAGGACCCCCAUUUCGACCGUAGGAGGUCCGUUUCCUCCGUUUUGCGGUAUGCCAGACCCCUCCUGAUCAAUAGGACCCCGUUUUGAACGUAGGAGGUCCGUUUCCUCUGUUGUGCGGUACGCCAGGCCUCGUUUCCAUCGCCUGUUCCGUCCAAGCCCUCCCGAUGAACACGAGCACGCAUUCCGUUCCGACCCAGCCGGUUGGCUCCCACGCGUUCCGUUGCCUCCCGAUAAACACGACGCAUUCCGUUGCCUCCCCAUGAACACGACGCAUUCCGUUGCCUCCCCAUGAACACGACGACGACUAUGUUUCUCCGUUCCGACCCAGCCAUGUACACGAGCCCUGGCCGUACGUAUGCGCGAGUAGGCGUUCGAGACCCCGCCCAUAUGUACACAUACGUGGCCGUAUUUUCUUUCUUGCACCCUGGCCGUUGUACGUAUGUGUACAUGCUAUGUGCGCGCCUCUACUACGACACGUACGCGCCUCUACUACGACACAUGCGCGCCUCUACAUCCACCAGUACAUAUGUAUGUACACGUUCACGACCAGAAUGACAACGCUACGUACGCUUCGACCAGGUGGGUCCUGACUGUCAGGCACUUCAUUGCUUGCGAAGAUGUAGCUGGUGGGUCCCAGGAGUCAGGGAGGCGAAUGGUUUUUUUUUGCCCGGAUGCACUUUCUUGUGUGCGAAGAUGUAGCUCGUGGGUCCCAGCAGUCAGGGGCAAAUGUUUUUUCGCAAAAUACGGUGGUCCGUCCGGUGGGUCCCCGCUGUCAGGUGGAGGAAUAAUUAUUUUGCACGUAAUAAGGAGGCACUUCCUUGCUACGGCCGUGGACCCAGCUGUCAGCCUCUCCACGUACAGUCCACGUCCGAUGGAAGCCGUUCCUGACCACGUUGACCACACCGUGCUGAGAGCACCAGGGCGGUGGACGACGGCGAGGCUUAGGAAGGGGACGAAGCGGAGCCGGGGAAGACGCGGUAGUGGAUGCCCACGCGUAGAGGAGUACGAGGGUUCACUGGUUCACUGCGGUGUGAGGCUGCCGUCGCCACAAAAUAACAUGGGGUGUGGGUGAGUAGAUGGAUAGCCUGGCCAGCGGUGGGAGUAGUAGGGGGCGGUCAGGCCUCCGCCGCAUCGCAGCCGGCCACGAGAGGCAGGAGCACGAGGCACGACCGGCGCUGGUUUGGGCGGCUGGAGCAAGAAGACCAGAGGUUGAAGAAGCACUACGACCGUUGGAUGGACAUCGUACGGUCACUGGAGCUAUAAUCGUGCAUAUUGACUAAGUUGACAAAGCCCUCCGUCCCCAUCAACUUAGUAGGCCCACAAGUCAGCCUGCCACUAUACUGGGUCCCAGCUAACAGGGGGAGUAUUCAUUUUUUUGUGCAUAAUAAGGAGGUACUUCCUUGCGUGCGAAGAUAUAGCUGGUGGGUCCGAGCUGUCAACGGCGGUAACGUUUUUUUCACGAAAUACAGAGGCCCUUUCGGUGGGUCCCUGAUGUCCGGUGGUGGAAUCAUUAUUUUGCACGUAAUAAGGAGGCAUUUCUUUGCCUGCGGCCGUGGACCCAGUUGUCGGCCUCUCCACAUACAGUCCACUUCAGAUGCAUGUCGGUCGUUGACCACGUUGACCAGGCCGCGCCGAGAGCACCAGGGUGGUGGACGAUGGCGAGGCCUAGGAAGGGAACGCCAUGGAGGCAGGGAAGACUCGGCAGUUGUAUCCCACGCGGAGGGGAGUACGACUGUACGAGGGUUUACUGGUUCAUCUGUCGUCGCUGGAGAAUAACAGCAGGUGUGAGUGAGUAGAGGGAUGGCUAGGCCAGCGAUGGGAGUACGGUGGGGCGGUGAGGCCUGUGCGGCAGCAAAGCUGGCCGCGGGGAGGAGGGAGCAGGCAGUCCCGCCGGCGCUUGUUUGAGCGGCUGGAGCAGGAAGAGCAGAGAUUGAAGAAGCACGAUGACCGUUGGAUGGCCAUCCAACAGUCACUGCUUGUGCGUCAACCUUUUUUUUAGGAAAGCCUCAAAUCUGUGGAAAACAGCAUACAACCCAUCUGCCAUUAUUUCUAAUAAUUCACAGCCCAUUUUCUAAUUAUUAAGGUUUUUUUUGGAUCCCAUAUUCUUUUUGUUAGCAUUACAGCCCAUAUUGUGGCCAUGGUUAAAAAAUCAUACGAAAUUUUGCAUAUAUCGGUGCGGUCCGAACUGUUUUUAAUCCGGAAAUUUCGACUCACAUUCAAACUGAUUUUAAAAAUAAAUGUAUAUCAAUAUAGAAUCCAACAAAUUCUCCACGCAUAAAAAAUAAUGUAAUUUAAAAUCUCGAAAUGAAAAAAAAGAUAUUUGAAACUAAUUGCCGGUUUGAUAUGUUUUAAAAAUAUACAACCAAUUUCUCAUUACUGAUGGGCCAUUUUCUCGGCCAGCCGAAUGAAAGCUCUCCUCGUCUUGAAAGAUUUGCAGCCCAACAGGCGUGACAAAGCGACUUACUUGGCAAAUCACAAAAAAACUAGGCUGUGGCCAUGGACCCAGCUGUCAGCCUCUCCACGUAUAAUACUCUUCCGAUGGAAUGUCGUUGACAAAGUUGACCACGCCGCACCGAGAGCACCAAGGCGAUGGACGACGGCGAGGCCUAGGAAGGGGACGACGCGGACCCGGGGAAGACACGACAGUGGAUGCCCACGCGGAGAGGAGUACGAGGGUUCACUGGUUCGGCUGCGGUGUGAGGCUGCCGUCGCCGCAGGGCCUGGCUAGCGGUGGGAGUAGUAGGGGCGAUGAGGCCUCAAUGGCAGCACAGCCGGCCACUGGAGGCAGGAGCAGGCGGUCUCCCCGGCGCUGGUUUGGGUGGCUGGUGCAAGAAGAGCGGCGAUUGAAGAAGCAGCAGGACCGUUCGAUUCAAAUCCAACGGUUACUGCUGCUAGAAUCGUUUGUUGACUAAGUUGACAAGCCCUGCGUACGCGUCAACUUAGUAGGCCCACAGGUCAGCCUCCCAACCGGUGCGCCCCAGAUGUCAGUGGGAGGAAUAUUUUUUUCGCGUAAUAAGGAGGUAGUUGAUUGCGUGCGGCCAGGCCAGCGGAGGGAGUAGGGUGGGCUGGGGAAGCCUGCGCGGCAUCACAGCGGGCCACAAGAGGAGGGAGCAGGCAGUCCCGCCGGCGCUAGUUUAGGCGGCUGGAGCAGGAAGAUCAGAGAUUGAAGAAGCACGUCGGUCGUUGGAUGGACAUCCAACAGUCACUGCUGCUAGAAUCGUGUGUUCACUGACAAAGCCUUGCGUAAACAAGUCAACCUUGAAAUCUGUGGCGUGUACAGCCCAUUUGCUAUUAUUUUUAUAAUUUUUACUCAUUUUCUAAUUCAUAUGGAAUUAAUUGCAACACGUUUUCCAUUUUUAGAAUUGCUGGCCAUUUUCUGGACAGUACCAGGGUCAAAAAAUUAACUAAAUAUGUGGGAAAUUUUGAAAAUUCGUAAAUUUUUGCUGGGGAACAAAAUAUUCUUAAUCCAAAAAUUAAUAGCCAUACUAAAAAAAUAAAAAUAAAUUAAUACUAUGUCAUGUUAAAUCCAAUGAAAUACGUAUAAGAUAUCAGUGAAGAACAAAAAGAAAAAAAGAAACUUAUACCCCUUUUGAUAUUACUUUUAACAGACAUUGACCAUACUCUUAAGCCAGGCCAGAAUGCAUCCCUCCUCGUCUUGAAGAUUUGCAGCCCAGUAAUUCGGAGAAAACAAAUAUGCCUAGCUUGGGUAUUCUUCAAAAAGAAAUACUGGGCUACCUAUUUUCCCAAAGAACUGGUGCAUGAGCAUUUAGCUUUAUUUAUUUACUUAUUUAUGUUUAGGGGACCAUGAGCAUGUACCUGGGCCGGAUUUAUGUGAGAGCCUCCCUUGUAGUUAAUUAUGGGCUUCUCUAUUGGUCCUUCAUCAGUUGGCUGCAUGUUAGCAACAAGUGGGAAAUGUGUUCCUACGAAAAAUAGUAUGCGCUACAUACGAUACGGGGCACUAAAGGAUCGAACCAUGCAACGACUUCCAAAACAUUGUGUUUGUCGUUCUAACAACACAUUUAUUCAACCAACAGACAAAAUAUACUACUGAUUGUACAUUGAAAACAACAGCGGCAACAGCAGCAACCAGGGCUGGGGGUGCGACAGAAGCAGUAAGCAAGCCAGAAGAGUGAAGACGCAGCUCUCUCUUCCAAACCAAACAUCUGCCAUCAUUACAAAAGGGCUACCAAAAAAGAACAAGUGUAUGCAUCAAACUAAAUAAAGAUCCUACUACACCAAGCGUACGCAUCUAACUAGCUGGCUCAGUUAGACGUUACUAUUUAUUAAGCUGUGGAGAUUGGCUGACGGCUUGAACCAGAUGGGUGCCUGGCGGAGGAAACUCCAGCCAGCAGGUCGAAGUCUGAUACUUGCGACCCUCUCUCCUACUUUGGGAUGCAGAGCGUGGCGGCACAUAUCAGGGUAUGGUGCAUGCAGAGACACAUGGUACGCUGCAUACACACAGUUUUGCCUGAUGAACGAAACUGCGUUGCCAUCAUGAUCCUUGCAUGGUACUGAGAUUGUCCACACGUGAAACAAUGAGCUUGAUUACCUCUGUGGGGAGCGAAUUCCAGCCACUCUUUUGGUGGACGCUGCUCGGUUCUUCCAUUGUUAGUGCUUGGGUUUCAGACGAGGGGGGAGGCGCCUUAGCGGGGAUGGAAGAUUGGACGAGAUUAUGUGCGGACAAAGAUGGAGAAGCGAAUAUGUGCUGCGGGAAGUGGACAGGUGAUGAUGACUACAGCACGCCGCUUGACUUACGAGACACAUACCAGCAGCGUAGGGUCAUGUCGAUGCCAGACAACUUGCUUGAGUAAUCACAGUACUGGUACUUCCUACAGUGCUAUGCCCUAACUUGCUUGAGUAGAGUAGUAGAGUAGGACUAUGCUCUACUACUAGCACCGGAGGAGUAGUAUAUUCUAAUCUAAAAUAGCUACAAACUUCAAUGCCCGAGCGUGGAACGACUACGAACCGUGCUCAAAGACCGUGGCCCUGUUUGGAUCCAUGGGUUAGAGUUAGUUUGGAUUAGUUUGGACUCAAACCCAAAAAUAUCCAAACAUGAGGGUUAGUUUGGGUCAGAUCCAUCUAACCCACCCCAAAAAACUAACCCACCCAAGAGGUGCUUAUUUGAGUUAGUUCUUCUCGGGGCCAUUAAAAAACACAUUUUUCUCUCGCUCUUCCUGUGGUAGAUCCCACCCCACUUCCUCGAAGCUUCUCGUCCUCUUCCUCCCUCCCUCUCGCACCGCCCAUGAAGGCGCCUCGCCGUAUCUGCGCUCCAUCUAACCCUCCCAUCCAAACAUCUUUUUGGUUAGAGUUAGUUUAGAGCUAGUUCAAGGUUAGAAUCUAACUCUAACCUCUAACCGAGUUAGAGUAUCCAAAUAGGGCCUAUGUCUACGUGGUGUUUGGACAUGGGCGACAACCUCAACGCCAACGGUGCUUCUCCCGUUGCACCGUAUGUGUUUCUGUCCUUCCUCUUCGAAAUCGUGGUAGAAUUCAUGUUUCUACUCUAUAUCCUACUACUAUGCUAGUCCACAUGAUUAGUUUCAUCUCUGUUAUAGCCGUCAUGAUUUAUUUUGUGCUUAUUCGGAUUAAAUCUCGUAGUAACUUGCUCAUAUAUUCAACUGGUGCAACGUCCCCUACAGCCACUCCCGUUUCAUGGACGGCCUGGUCAAUGCCUCCAAGGAGCCCUUCGUCCACUGCUAUGAGUGCCCGGUGUCGUUUUGUGGCUCGCCGACAGACAUGGUGCAUCACCUCACGGAUGCGUGCAACGGUCACUGCUGGCCCUUGGCGGAGAACAUCAAGUACGAGACGUGCUACCCAUUCACCAUGCCAGAGUCGCUGGAGGAUCACCGCCGCCUGCUAGUCCCGGAGGAGGACGGCAGCGUCUUCCUCUUGAUCGUGGGCAUCGGCAAGGCCCGCGUAGGCCGCCGCCCCGUCUCUGUAAUGUGCGUCAGGGGCGACGCCGCUGACGCUGACACUGACACGAGGCCGAUGUACGGGUGCGUGGUGAGUGUUACUACCCCUCCGGGUCGCGUGGGCGGCGACACCGGCCUCAUUGAACGGACUUGGACUCUGGGGAGCUGGGACUAUCCCGCCAAUGUGGACUUGGAAAACCCGUGGCAUCCUUUACCCGUCGAUGCAGUGCACGGGGACUCCAAGGAGGUUCACCUGGACAUACGCAUUAUCAAGUUAAAUGUUGAUCAUUAGUCUUCACUCAAUGUAAUCCGCUAUCUAAGCAUGUGGAGACUUCCAUGCAGGAUCUUGCUCUAUUGGAGAAUCACGCAUGAAUAAAAGUGUAUCCAUUUAUGGUUUAGCCUAGAAAAACACACAUGCCAUGGUAGUUAUGUCUAGAGAAACACACAUGCCAUGGCAAGUUUGUUUCUCAGACACACAAUAUGCGACGACAAUAUAACGCCAACUCUAUCGCGCGACCCUAAACGGACGUCCGUUUUGUCCGGAUUCUGUCCGUUUGGGUAAGGCGAUGGGGUCAUGUCCGGGUCUGUCCUGGGAUGCGGUGGCCGUGCGCCCAUCGCGCGGACGCAUCAUAUCCGCGCACAUUUUUCUUUGGAAGUCCUUCACUUCUUUUCAUCAUUCAUUUUCGGUACAUGAAAAAUACAUUAUCACAUUUUGACUAGUAAAGCAAGACCAAAAAAACAAGAACAAUAAGAAUACAUUUUAGAAGAUACCCAACUUCCAUAACUGCUCCCUUGAGUUGGGUUAGGGCCUUCUCGAUGCACUCAUUGUUGAUCUGUGGAGGAGGCUCGAUCUGGCAUCCUCCUUUCUUCUUCAAGCCAGAAGUCGAUGUUGCUUCCUCACACCUAGUCUCGUGUCUAGCCUCUAAUCUAGCAACAAGUGCACUUGUCUCAUCUACAGCCUCUAUGCUAGCCAAAAGUGCAUGAACAUGUACUAAAUUUCGCUCUAUCAAUAUAUCAAUGUACUCUUCUUCCCAAUACCAAAACUUGCAUCGAUGCUACACAAUAAAAUUUGUAGUUAGCACAACUAGUCAAAAGUAGAGCACAAACCGAAGCUAAAAAGAGCACAUACCCCAUCAUUUAAGCACUUGAUGAACACCCAUCUGGGAUGUUCCGGCAUUGUAGACACGCGGUGCACGACCAUCCUUGGGCAGUGGUCGCACUUAAUGAGUGGCAACGGUGCGCCGGUGAGCUUCUGGGCAAGCACCGAGCCCGGCUGGCCGCCAUUCGUGUAUCUGCCGGUGGACCACCGACGGUGCAGAUCCGAGCGGCUAGAGGAGGAGCCACUGCCUGCAUGCGGCCUUGCAGCCCUGCCAGGGCCUUCCGGCGAGGUGCCCGGCCAGUCCAUGGCGCGACCCGGCCUCCCACAGCCGGGCGAGCUCAAGACCGACCGGAUCCGCUCCAAAUCCGGCCGGCGGGUGCGCAAACCAGGUGGUCGUGGUUGGGUAGCUCGGCGGCGCCGAGGGGAAGGGGCUGGGCGAGCGCGCGUCCGAACUGCAUGGCUGCAAUGGCAGCGGCAGCGGCGGCGGCAGUGAGGGGAAGAGUGGAGGGGGGUGCGGCCUGAGGAAGGGAGUGGGGCGGAUAGAAAAAGGUCCGCCCUGUGCCACCGACGGGCGGGCCAGGGGAGGACGCGCGCAGACAACCCACGCGUCCGCGUGGUGUCCGUUUCACCCCAAAAACGGCGCAAACUUCGGCCGCGGAUGGGUUGAAAUCGGACACAAAAGGACAAAAGUCCAUUUGCUCCCGCGCGGUGGGCCACCUCGUUUGUCCGUUUUACCCCAAACGGACGAAGGCGGACAGGAUAAGGUCGUGCGAUGGAGUUGUCCUAAGUCUCUCUCACACAUAUAUACCCAUGGCAGUUUUACCAAUCACACACACAUAUCAUGGCAAUUUUGUCUCUCAUAUGCGCAUAUGCCAUUUACACAACAUGGCGGUUUAUACUGGAUAAAUAGGACUCGACAUGGCAAAAAAUAGGGAGGAAAAGACCCUCUACACAAUUAAAAAACAGAAUCUACCCCUCCUUCAAAAAACAAUACCAUCUACCCACAUACAACAGUUCUAGCAAAUUUUAGACUAAGUGAAAGCAUGAAAAAUGGUAUAAAAUUGCUUAGAUGAAGAGUGGAUGGGUGGAAACUACUAUCCCCAUCUACAUUGCAACCCCUCCCCCAAAAACACUCACGCCCCCUCGCCAGUGAAUCCACAACAGUUGCUGCCAUCACACUACAAACCGAAGAAAACCAUGGUGCUUCCUACACGCGUCGGCACCAAAAAACUUAAAGAAAACCAUAUCCCCGACCACCAUCCGCAACCACCAUCACCAAAUGCACAAAUACCGCCAUUGGCCAUGAACUCGAUGCCGACAAAAAAGAUGAAAACCGUCGUCCCAGCCAUGAGUAAACCACUUGACCUAACGACGCUGAAAUCGGCGGCAAGGAAGCCACGAUCGUCUCGAACCGCCGCAAUAGAGAGAGAGAGGGGGGGGGGGGAGAAUGCGGUGAGUGUGAGCAAAGAGAAAUAGUGCGGAGGAGGGAGUUCGCUAGUCACCACGCUUUAGGGAAUGGUUGGCAAAGCGUGACAUGGCAGUGUGGCACACGUCAAGUUCGUGCAAAGAAACCAACAUAGAAGAAGGCAUUCACUCAGAGGUGGCGGAAUUCAGACGUUCGCGAGGUAUCAUUUUCGUAUUUUUAAACCACAACCCACCAAGCACCCCUUAUACAUGAGGCUAUUUUUUGUACACCCUAGUUUAUGAUUUCUAACAACAGAUUAAACCUUAGAAAAAUAUUUCAAUGUAUGUUGCAUACACUUUUUCUCUUUCUCAAUAUUUGUGUAUCGAUAAAAUCCUUCAUCGAUCUCUACUAGGCCUGCAAUAUUUUCCCCCACCAAGUUAGCUUUAUGUAAAAAAAAUCGAAAAAUGCCAAAGGAGCUCAAGCUAUAGGGUGGCUCGUUUUUAAAAUUCAAAUUUCCGCAACACAUUUUUUUGUGAACACAUUUAUACUAUGUAUGUGCAAAAUUUCACAACAUUAUUAUUUCACAGGUAGCGUACAGAAAAAAGAGAAAUACAUAUUUCCAAAACGGUCCUUUUAUCGUUGUUGUUGGGCCGGAUUUUUGUUUUCUUUUUGUACAGCCUACAAAUGACAAGAUUUUUAAACAAAGUUUCACAUAUUCAUGAGGAACACAUAGAUGUUUCCAUGAAUUUUUUUUAAAUUUAAAUAUGAUUUAUGUUUUUUUAAUACCGUGCUCCUCCAUAAUUUUGCACUCAAAAUCGAAAAAUGCCAACGGAGCUCGAGCUACACGGAGCUCAUUUUAAAUUUUCAGAUUUCCACAAUGUGAUUUCUUUUGAAACUUUUUAUGAACACACCUACACAUGUAUACUGCAUAUGUGAAAAAGUUCACAACAUUAUACUUUCACACGUGGCUUAAAGAAAAAAGACAAAUGCACAUUUCCAAAAUGUGCCCUUUAUUUUUGUUGUUGGGCCGAUUUUUUCUUGUACAACCUAAAAAUCACAAUAUUGUUAAACGAAAUUUGACACAUUCAUGAGGAGCACAUAUAUGUUUCAAUGGAUUUUCCCGAUUUUUUUGAAAGAAAUAUGAUUUUUUUAUUUUUUUUAAAUACCGAGCUCCCUGAAGCACGGUCACCAAAAGUCUGCAAUCAAAAUCUAAAAAUGCCACGGAGCUCGAGCUAUAGGGAGGUCUUUUCAAAUUUCAAAUUUCCAUAGUGUGAUGUAAAAAAAAAUUGUGAACACACAUACACGUGUAUACUACGUAUGUGCAAAAUUUGAUAACACUAUACUUUCACACGUGGCAUACAGCAAAAAGACAAAUACAUAUUUCCAAAAUGGGCCCUUUAUUUUUUUUGUUGGGCCAGACAUUUUUAUAGCCUACAAACCACAAUAUUUUUAAACAAAAUUUCACACGUUCGUGCGGAACACAUAUAUGUUUAAUGGGAUUUUUACGGAUUUUUGUUAACUUUUAAAUAUGUUUUUUGGUUUUUUUUUUAAAUACCAAGCUCCAUGCACUCAAAAUAAAAAAUGCCAACAGAGCUCGAGCUACAGGAAGCUCAUUUCAAAAUUCAAAUUUCCACAGCGCGAAAAAUUUCAAUUUUUUUAACACACAAACACAUGUAUAAUAUCUGAACAUCUUCCUAAAGUGAGAUCAUUAUAUAGUACCAUAGAAGAACAAUAAAGAACACAAAUAGACUGACUCUGGUACAUAGGGGAUGUGGAUUUUGUGCUCUGGGAUUGGUUAUACCAUUUAGUUUAUAGAAAAAUACUAGUAUAAAAGAGUUUUUUUUGGAAGUUUUAUUUUUAUUCUUUUAAUGCUGUACACAUGGUAGUAUAUCAUGCACCUCUACAUUUUCAUGAGAAAACAUGCUAGUUUGUGUUCUUACAAAAACAUGAGAUGACUAGAAUAGCAGCUAUUUAUGCACUAAAUUUAUUAUAUUUGCACAUGGGGCGCUGAUGAGUGUUUUUGCACCAAACUUAAAAACAUGCACGUAAUACUCAGUCGAAUGUAUGACUUUUUUUCAAGGAAAAAAUCGAAGAGUGGAAAUACUUUUUGUAAGGAAGGAGGCGUGUUUCAGAGUAUCUUUUUCUUAGGGAAGUUUCCGGUUCAUCUACUAGUAGGUAUCGAGUAGAUGGUACUCAACUACUCAUUCUUGGUGCUGAUAGCUCAUUCGAAGGAAGAGCAUGUGCACUUGUUUCUACAGAAAAACACCCACAUGUACGUCCUAAUAGCCCUCAAGGCUCUAGCCAACAACGGAUAGAGCUCAGUGCGGUUUUAUCUUGGCCCCAGAGUCCUGGAGAAAUAGUACUACGUAGUACUACAAGAAAACACACAGUACUAUCACGCAUGCCAAUGCUGUGUGCUCUGCGCUGAGAGGGAGAGAGACGAGGGACGUGCAUUAAAUUGCAUCUUUGUACGUAGCAAGAAAAUACGGAUAGAUAGGAGAGAAGUGAGAGGCCGGCUUAGGGUUAGCAUGUCCAUGGAUGAGUGAGUGUACUCUCAUCUGCAAGCACUGCCGACUGUGCCGGCAUAGCUGUCAACCUCCAAAAAAUAGAAUGGUCUGCGCAGUAAAACAUCCGUACUGCAUCUCGUUUAACAGAAACACUAGUACUACACUACCAUGCAGAAACCCCCAAAAUUAUUCACGUAGUAGUAUGCUUGCGGCUGUGGCCUGCGCGUCUCCAUCUUUCGUACCGAGCCUGAUUAUUUUUGCGGCCACCGGCCAAGAGUUGAGCCUGAACACCGCGUACUGAGCUCCAUUAUUACUGCAACGUGACGAGGGCGAGCAGCAGCAGAAAACAAGAGGCCGGGAAAGGCAAACCCGGCGCCCAACUUUCGGACAAAUUAAAGGCCUCUGCACCAAACAUUCUAUCCAUCACACACGCGCGCAAACCCCCACAGCGAAAAAGCUCUGAAACCCCAGCGGCGGCAGCACGAGGGUUUAAUGAGGCACUGACCGCGCAUGCACGGACGGGGCCGUGCGUGCGUCGCAAAGUUUUCUCCAGCGGCGCCGAGAGAACAGAGAGAGAGAGAGAUAGCAUCGGCCGCCGCGCCGGAAAAAAACCGAGAAAGCGGAGGAGGAAGAAGGGGCGGGAUCCCUCCCGGGCCGGGCCGUGUUAUCAAAUCACAUCAGACGCCCGGCUUGAGUGUGCGCGUGAUCCUGCGCGUGCGAGCGAGCGAGCGCGCGGUAGUACACCACGAUGGGAUUCCGGCCAAUCCAUCCACGCUUAUCGGCUGCGCUACGUAGGGAACCGGAUUCCGGGAUCAGGAUACGCCCCCCGCGCGCGCGCACACGCACACGCAUCACGGGCAUCAGACGAACGGGCGGCCACCCGUACGUACGCUGCAGCGUGGUGUCAUUUCUCUGCUGCAGCUCAGUGGGAGCGCACGUGGCGGUACUAUGUUUUCAGAAGAUAUAUCUUGCACCCAUCCAUCCAUCCAUGCAAAAAUGAAAAGAAAAGACGGGCUGAGUGACGUAAUGAGACUGUGAGAGGCCGUAGGAGCUAAAGCCAGCCAGGGGAAUUUAUUUGGAGGGGGGCUUAAAUAAAUACCAUGCUCGUUCUGGCAUGACAGCUUGGUGCUUUCGAGACCUCAUUUAACUUUUUUCACUGCUACAGUACUCUCCCAAUUUAAUGUAGCAGCCCAAGGAAGCGGCGUGGUGCAUUUUGGCUCAUUGCUGUGGUGGCACCCAAGUACUACGCUCUACUACUACAAAAAUAAAAUAAAAUUCUGAACAGGCCAUGCUACUGUUGCAUAGCAGAGGGAUGAUGAUACGAGAUGUUGAUGUUGAUAUUGAUCGACGUGGAGGGGAGGCGAGCAUUUACUUUUCUCUUGACCGCAUGCAUCAGCUCGUCGUCCACGUCAAGAGAAAGAAUAGGGUAAGAAAAGCUGGAGGGGUUGCUGCCUUGUUCCCAUCUCAUCCAUCUCCCGGCCUAGCCCUACAACAAUGCGUAGUUUUUUUUCUGGAAGUUACCCUAUAACAAUAGUUAGGGUAUACUCUGUGGACUAUGGUUCCCCUGUCAGAAGACACAAAGACAAGUCUUUCUUGAGAGGAAAGCACGAGAAGCAGGCCCUAGAAGAAUAAUCAAAGGACGAACACCCCUAGCUUUAGCUUCAUGGUGUACACAUGCUUCCUACUAGUUGACCCAUAGGUUAGGGUUAGGGUUGGGAGAGUGAGUGACAAGUGCUCCAAGGAGGGACACGAUGAUGCAGCACUAAUGCUCGGCUCGUCCUAUCUUUGUGUGCAAGAGAAGAGCUCACGCAUGCAUGCUUGCAUGCAACAUGCAUGCAUGUGAACUCUGCCGCGCCACAGGACAAGGGCAGUUGUUCUUGAGUUGGCACCAGCCGAGCCAACCAAUCAAGGAAAAGGAGAUCCAUCCACCUUCUCAUCACAACCGGCUUGUGUAGUCAAAUCUUUAAACAGGAGCAAAAGCAAUUAAAUCACAUGUGGAGAGAGCAGAACGAGGUGUUGUUUUAGAACACUUGUGUGGGAAAAUCAGAAAGAUCCUGUGAUCCACUGCAUUGCAUAUGAGGUGGUCCACUGGAGGCAGUAGUAGCAUCACAGUGCACAAAGCAGCAGCAGCAGCAGCAGGAAUUCACUCACGCCAGUGGGGGUGAGGGUGAAGCAACGAGCGCCUGCGAUCCUGCUGCUGCUGGUGGCAUAAAGCCGUGCACGCAAGGGCGGGGAGAUGGGCGCUAAUCACGGCGGAUCGAGCAGAGCAGGACCACACGAGGAAGAGCGUUGCUGCUGAAUUGAUGGUGCUCCGAUCGGUCGAUCCUGCCUUCAACCUCCGUCCCGGGAGGGAAUUGCACAAACCACCGCUUAUUGGGGCUGGUGUUGCACAAAAUACCUACUAUAUGAGUUUGUUGCGGAAAAUACCACAUAUUGGUGUAAUACGUUGCAGAUAGGUCUAAUCUAGUAUUUGGAUGCAUUGACAUAAUUACUGAGAAAUGGGUCCCGCUUCUAAGUGUACGCGUGACAAUAAAACCCGGCCACAUCAGCCAAUGUAUAUUAGACCAAGAAGUGAAAAGACCAGAGUUAAAAAAACUGUUUAAUAAGUGGGCUGGAAGCCGACUCACAAAAAUAGAUGGACUGAAAGCCGAUGUCGAUGAAACAAGACACAACCAUCUCGUACAUAGUGGCUCGAGCAAAGAGGGACGCAGAUUUUUAGAGCACUUGCACCCAUGCCCUGCUAUCCUGGUCCUCCAAUAUUGCUUUAAGAUCUGUGCGAGACAACUAAAUUUGUAUAUGCAUUUUUUCUCUUUUUCGUUUCUCUCAUAUAGAACAUGUUUUGAACUUCAAACUUUGCAGCGCAGCAAAACUUACUAACUAUAAUGUGAGAUAAAAAUUUCAGAAUUUUUCGUCCAACAUAAAUACUAAAAUAUAUAUAUAUUAAUCAAAUAAAACUUAUUUUUUAUAUUUAUGUUGGGCGGAAAAAUCUAAAAAAACUAUCCUAGAUUUUAGCUAGAAAGCUUUACUGUUCUGCAAAGGUUUUAACUUGAAGACUUUACUGUUCUGCAAAGGUUUUAACUUGAAGACAUGUUCUAUGUGAUAGAAACAAAAAAGAGAAAUGUACUUGCACGGAUCUUGAUACGAAGAAUGGAUGGCUAGAUAAGAGGGGCCUAGGUGUAGGUGCUCUAAAAUAUAUUUUCGGAGCAGAGAGGAACGACCUAGCACAGAGUUUCCGCAUAGGAACAGCAGGCGGCGGCGACCAUCCCAUCAGUGGUGAUGGAGCCGUUACCCAAUCGUCGGGUAAGCACCCCCCUCUCACCUGAGCUAUGCUCGUCUUCUCCCCUACCUUCCUAGGUCUUCUUCUCCCUCAUGAAACCCUUACAUUUUUGGGGAUAAAUUUUGCCGUUGAUCGAUGUAUUUUUGUUUAGGAUCCUAUUUUUUGGGACGUUUGUGUUGUUAUUACUUAGGUUCUGCGCUUGAUUUUGACAUGUGUUUAAGGCCUUGUCCCUUGUGUCGGUAUAAAUUUUGUUUCAGCAACAUAUCUGAUUAUUAUCCUUUAUCCAACUUUCAUGCCAGCUACUUGAUGCUAAAAUCUAAUGGGAACAAUAUCUACCAUGUUUUUGUGUUGGUGAUCUCAUGCCGAACUUGCUUCAUUUAAAUUUGGGUUCAAAAGUUAACAAUUUUAGAAAAGUGUGAAUUUUUUUGACAUUUUCAGAAAAAUGUGAAAUAAUUUCAGUAAAUACUACAUAUAUUCAAUACUAAUCUAGGAAAGUUUCGGCUCAACUGGACCACAGGUUUUGGAGAUAAUGACAGUCUAAUAUGUUGGCUGAUGUGGCCGGUUUUAUUGCCACAUGUGCACUUACGAGCGGGACCCAUUUGUCAGUAAUUAUGUCAAUGCAUCCAAAUACUAGAUUAGACCUAUCUGCAAUGUAUUACACCAAUAUGCGGUGUUUUCCGCAACAAACCCGUAUAGUAGGUGUUUUGCGCAACACCAGCCCCAAUAAGUGGUGGUUUGUGCAAUCCAGAGAGAGUCCAGGAGGAUGUUUUGAUCCUCAAGUUAUUGCGCACUGGGCGCUGGCUUAGCGUGGCGAGGAGAUGAGAUGAGAUGAGAUGGGAUGAUCAGCUGCUGCUGCUGCCUGCUGCAUGUCGUGGGCAAGUGCAGAGAACGUGUGUUGCAGGCGUUGCAGGAGACUAGGAGAGGGUGGUGCUACGUGCUGGUUGCCUGCCUGGCUCCUCGGCUGUUGGAUGCUCGGAGCAAUCGGCCUUCUGAAUAAAACUGUCCUACCCCCGCAAAAAACAAGAAAUAAUGAAACUGCCCUAAAUGUACUAUUUGAAUGCAGCAUGUGUGUGAGUAUGUGCGUUUGUAAAGGUGAGUGUACGUGCGUAUGUAUGAGCGUCCGCGUCUGCACUGUAUUAAAAAAUGAAAAGAAGAAGAAAACAUGUAAUAACCUUAGUAAAGGAAAAAAUGAUCAAAGGGCAAUGGAUGAUUUGGGCCUUCUGAUGGGCCAAGUCAGCUUGGCCCAUUGCAUUGUAAACAUGGUCAAUGUGCACCAUGGACCAAACUCACCGUAAGAUAUUAUUUGCAUGGGCCAUUGGUGGUAGAAGCAAGACACCUUACAUACAAGUGUGUUAGAGGGCCCAUGCAUGAACUUUAGUAGCACCUCUAUUAAUCAUGAAAAACUUUAAUAAAAUUAGGAAGCACUGAUACUGCAUGCAUUUUCUUUUUCUUUGCAUGAAAACUUCCAAUGUAUUCAUCUUCAAUCACGACUGCAUGCAUUUACCCUGUCCCAUCUAACUUUUUGGAUCAAACUUUAAUCCAAAAAUGGAGAAACUAAAAAUACGCGCAUUUGAUCUCAAUAGUAGCAAAUUUGAAUUUGUUGUCAAUGGUAUUUUAGAAAAUACCAUUCAAAGAAGUAUUUUUGAGUUCUUUUUUGGUAUGUCAAAUAUUGGAUUCAAUAUGCAUUUGCAACUUCGGUCUAUAUGAUACAUACAUGUUGUCUUUAUAUUCUUGUGAUAUACAAAAGUUUUUUAAAUUACUAUUGACAUAGAAAUUUUGCUAUAUGUGAAGAACAUAGCCUAGAGUCUGUAAGAUUUUGGUAUAAUUCCAGCACUUCAGAUUCGGCAAUAAUAUAUUUGUAAUCUAUGCAUACAAUGUACUAAUCGAUAACGGGUUCACUAUAUAUAUGCAAGGACUUAACCAAUCAAGUUUCAAAAAGAGUCAAUCUGGUUUUUAACGAUGAUGAAAACCAUUUCAGAAAUUACUCAAGUAGCAGUGGUCCGAUACUCCCAUCAGAAAUCAGAACGGUCAUGUUUCUUCUGCCCUUGAUAAUUUACACGUACGGCACAUUCGUACUCUCAAACUUUUCCCGGUAAAAUUCACACAGCACAUGCUGCUGCAUCGCGCGCACGCAGCUGAUCAUCAGCAACCGACGGCGGCGGACGGGCAAUAAACGGCCAGCUCACAGGCUGGGCACCCUCUCGGCGGCGCCGGAGAUGACGGUGAGCAGGUUGUUGCCGAAGGGGUCGCUGAGGUGCGCGCACAGGUUCUCGAAGGGGCCCUCGCCGGUGACGUAGGCCUGGAUGAAGAAGCCCAGCAUGGAGAACAUGGCCAGCCGCCCGUUCUUGAUCUCCUUCACCUUGAGCAGCGCCGCCUGGUCGGGGUCGGUGGCGAGGCCGAGCGGGUCGAAUGGGCCACCGGGGUGGAGCUUGUCGUCAAAUUCCUGCCGGAGAAGUUGACCAAACCGUUGGUCACUACAAGGACGCCUGGCUGCGGCAACGCAUAUCUAUGUUUCAGGAUACUGACCAGCCCGUUGGUGAUCCUGUAGUACUCGGCGCCUCCGACGAGGACGACCUCGGCGACGACGGCGAGGAUGAGGUUGAUGGGGAUGCUGUUGCCGAAGUAGUUGAGGGUGUUCCCGUCAAGGAGCAGGGCGCCGGUCUGCAGGAUGUAUGUUGUUUAUGGCACCGUGAGCUC
rnacentral:lncRNA from 1 species